GUCAGUGUGAAGGUCCGCCAACCCAUUGAGAUACUGAGAACAUGACUCCACGAUCCUGGUGCUCAUGUCAAUGGUGACCACCCACAUCUUCAUCAUCACGUACUCAUAGUCGCAGCAAAGGAAGUGCACCACAUGUGGCCUGUAGAUGUCCACCUGAGGGAACAUGAGAAUGUGGCGAGGGAGGUCCUUUGGGGCGUUUGCAGACCACAGCUCCUUGGAGGUGACCGUGUAGUCCUUCUUCCACUCCAUGGAUUCUAAGGAGAGGGUGUGGCAGGUGAUGGUGAAGCCACCAACACUGGUUUUGAGUGCCCCAUAGCCAACGCCAUCAUGGCGGGCGAUGUCAACAAACUUGAGCUUUCUGCCACCGACGUCGGACGCGCCACGAUACAGCCAGCUGGAUGGUUUGCCCCGGAUAGGAAACUCGUCAAGAGGGAAGCGGAGGAAGGAAACAGUAGGGGUGGGAUCUCCGAACACAUCGCAGAAGAGGAUGCCACGGUAGUAGUCGAUCCAGCACAGCCAGCGGCCAACAGGAAUGACAGUGUCGGUCUGCCAGAUGCAGAGUUGCCAGGUAUCAUCAGGGUCGGGGUUCUCGAAGCCAAGGAUUCCAUUACCAUCGGGCUUCUUGCAGAAGCUGCGGAUUGGUACGCGGCAGGAGUUCCAUUUGCCCUCGAUGGCACCAGUGGGUACAGCUAGUUUGUGCAGCCAAAAGAUGUCAGCAAAGACCUCAGGGGCACAGACCUUAGGGUCAGGGCAGCGGCCAGGCCUGAAAAGUCGUAGUUCUGCUACCACGAACUCCUGUUGGUCUCGGCACAAGAUGCCCAUGGAUCUGACCGCCAUCAGACGCGGUCGCUGCUCCUUGUUAGGAGGAGGGCGACGGCGACGGCGACGGCGACCACCACGACCACCACCAUGGAGGGGAUAAUCCAUGCAAGCGGGCAGUGCUUUGAGUUUGGAAGGGUCGUCGGCAUCUGAGGCGCUGUAGAUGAAGAGCUCCUGCCGCAAAUCAAAUGUAUCGUCCUCGAUACAGACGCGAAACAGGACGAGAUGUUGGUGGCUCGCCAGGAUGGCUAAGGGCACCUGUUUUAAGGGAUCCGGAAAGCCCGGCAGCCGCGCGUAGAGGCGGGAGAUCGCCGGGGGCUCGGCGAGCUCGAAGGCGAUGUCGAAGGGGGCCUCCCACCGGGUGAUGCCGGAAGCCCUGAUGGGCAACUUGUCCUCGUCCGGGAAGGCCUCGUCCAUGCGGAAGACGAAGCGCUCCAGCAUCACCCACUUGGGGGGGGAGGCGGCGGCAGAGGCGGCGGCGGCAGACAUGGCCGCGGACAUGGCGACCUUGAGACAGAUGAGGAAAUUAGGGGGGACCAGGGGGGAUCACCGUGAAGACAAAUCGGGAGAAUUGUAAGAAGAGGUGCCUUACCCACGGAGAAGUAGGCAGCUGCCGGCCGUCGAGAAGAGAGGAGGGGAGGCGGCAAGAGGCGUGCGGUAGAGGCUCCGGCGAUGCGGCGGCUUCCCGAUUCGAGGAACCAAAACAGAUCUAGGGUUUCGAAUUGGUGGCUGGAUUUUUUUUGAAUAAUAGGGUGGGGGGGUUUUUUGUUGAAACAAAAAUAAUAGGGUGGUUGGGAACUUGUAUAGGAUACGAAAGCUGUAUUGGUGGGCCUGCACUCUGGUCGGACUCUAUUGGACCAAACAUCUAUUCGUGUACGUACUAAUUCGAAGUGUUAAUUAAUAAAUAUAAAUUAAUGAUAAAACUAAUGGUACAAAAUAAGACUAAUUUGUAAGAUAAAUCUAUUCGAAUAUAAUUAGUUUAUAAUUUGAUAAUAUAGUACUAGUCAGUAAACUCUUGUUUGAUACGGAGUACGUACUAAUUUGAAGUGUUAAUAAUAAAUAUAAAUUAAUUAUCUUUUUCCUAAUAUAUAAUUGUGAAAAUUUCAGUCCAUUAUAUCUUUAUAUGUCCACCAGUAAGAUUAAUUAAACGAUGCUCCUCUCGUUCGGACCUAAUUUUCUAUUAUUUUUAGCUUAUUUUUCUGUUCAUGGCACGAAGACUCCUAGUCCAAUUGGGUUAGAAAAAAAAAAGAAAGUUAUGGGCUGAAUCUAACUCAGAAGCCUCACACGAGUUUAAACCAAUUUUAGACCGAAACAAGCGAAUAGUUGGGCUCGACUAAAAUCCAAAAUGACUAGAAAUUUUUCCUUUUUUAUUAUUAGAGAAGAAGAAGGAACUAUAGGACUUUGCUUUUUUUUCCUCCGAUUGACAUCUAAAUAAGGGGGUGUUUAGUUUCUCAUAGAAUCCAAAAUGUAAAAUACCAACUACUUUGGAAUGAUGAAAUACAAAAGGCCAAAAUUUUUAGGGUCAUGGUUAGUUCCAUCCAAAAUGCAGAAUUUAUUGUCCUCAUGAGAGCCUCUUGAGACUCUUUUUGGGUUUUUUUUGGUUUCUUAAGGUCAAAAUACAAAAUGGAGAAUAACCACAUUUUUUGCCAAAAUUUUUGCAUAGUGUUUAGUCCAUUUUGCAAAAUGGUUGACCAAAACCUAAAUUUUUUGAAAAAAGGGAAACUAAACACCCCCUAAAUAAAGAAAGUGGAGCAAAAUAAAGAACAUAAUUCUUAUCCUUUUCUAUUUGACUAUUAAGAGUUCUAUUUAGAAUACUUAGGAUGUGAGGAAUCUAUUUAUAUUAAGACUUCUACUCCACAUAUUGGUUUAGACGCAAGUUAUUCUAACUCGUAUGAGCAUGGGUUAUAUAUAUAAGUCCACAUAAAAGAAACAUUUCAUUGUUCGGUAGUUAGAGGAAGAUAGACAAAAAAAUAGAUGGGCAAAAAAAGAGCCUAAAAUUUUACCUCUUUAUUAUUAGAUAUAGAUAUAUAUAAUUAGGUAAUAGAGAUAUAGAUAUGGAUUUGAUAGCUUUUUUUCUCCCGUUGCAACGCACGGGCAUUUUUGCUAGGAAAACUAAUGGUACAAAAUAAGACUAAUUUGCAAGAUAAAUCUACGGCAGCGGAUGGCGGGAACUCGAGGUGGGCGAACACAGUGCCUCCGCCGCCGAGGACACUCACGGGGGUGGUGGCGUUGUUGGUGUAGACUACCCCUGCUCGUUGAGGAGCGCUUGUCAGCAUAGAAGUUAAGUUCAGUUGCUCGUUGAGAGUUCAGUUGCUCGUUGAGGAGUGCUAUAAAGGUACACAGGAUUUGAACAUGAACACUGACUCAGUAAGUGUAUGGCCCUCGCCCUAUUUUAACCUACUGUGAAAUGUCAAUGACCUGUAAUUUAAUUUUGCAGUCAUGGAUGAAUGAGUACAGGCGAUCAGUUCUACAUUAUCUUACCUUCCACCAAUCACAAGUCCUGAGACAGCUGCAAAAGAUAGGUUCAAUCCCUAUGCACUUCUCGUCAUCAGAAGCAGACGUUGUUGUAAUAGCUUGCACGCAGAAGGAAGACACUGAAUCACCAAAGAUGUAUAACAGAAGCUCUUGAAUCACAACAGCUGUAACAGAGCAUGCAACCCAUAUAUAUAUGGGUGCUCCAUACAUAAAGAAGCCGCUGUUAUUAAGUCGUGCGUGCGUUGAGGUCGAUGAUCACGAGUGAUAAAACGACAUUCAGAUUGUCCGUUUUUUGCUGGCGAGGAGCUGGUCCGUGUCUCCGGUUAAAGACAUCGUCCGUCUCCGUUAACCGGAGACUGUGCUUCUAGAGUUAGAUAUUUUGUAAAGAAGUGUGCUGAAUAUGGACACAUGGUAAAAUCAUGAGCCAUUGAGUCCUACAUAUAUACCUAGGACCCUCCUCAUGUGCUAACCAAACCCUCCAUUACCUUGCCUCCACAUUCUGUUAAUCCAAAAAACUACCAUAACUAACAUGUGGUCUCGUACAACCAUUUACUCCUCCGACGAGGAUGGUGACUCUGUCAACAACUACUCCUCCGAUGAGUAUGAUGACUCUGCCCUCUCAUCAGAGCCCUUUAGUAGCGUACCAAAUUCUCCUAAUGACUCUUAUGGAGAGGAGACCGAGUACGACAAGGAGGAGGACGACGAGAGCUCGGACGAGGACGAUGUUGAGGAGAGCUCGGACGAGGACGAUGAAGCGACAGAAGAGGCCAAGAAGAGGAAGCGAGCGAAGGAGCAUAGAGACAAGAAAGGGGCUGCGGAGAAGAGAAGGGUGGGGGAGGAGGAGGAGGAGGAGGAGGAGGAGGAGGUGGACUCGAAGAUGGCCAGGAAGUUUCAGAGUGCAGACUUCGACAUCGACGAUGGUCCCUCCAAUGUCGGUCCUAGGGCUCCUGCUAGUCUCGGUCCCAUGUCAGAUUCAUCGGAGAACUCCUCGAAGGGGUCGUCGUAGAUUAGAUUAUUCUGAUAGUCCGAUUCAGUGUUUUAUUUUACUCCUCACUGUCAGGGGCUCCUAUACAACUGAAAAUUAUAUAAAUUGCAUGCACAAAUCAACAAAUCCAUCUCCAAUAAAUUUCAGUCAAUUUUGCUAAAAAUUUUUUGUGUGUAUGCGAGUUUUUAGUUUUAGAGCCCGACUCUUGACGUGGGGGCGACCUAUAGGUCUAGUCACGCUAUUGUGCACAAAGUUGUUGCUUAAUUAUCAUAUUGAGUCAUCUCCAACAAAUUUUAGUCUAUUUUGCUAAUUGAGUCAUAUCAUGAAGUAGACAUGACUUAUAUCAUGAAGUAGACAUGACUUAUUGAGUCAUAUCAUGAAGUAGACAUGACUUAUACAAUUAAUUUUAUAAUUAAUUUAUAUAAAUUAUACAACUGAAAAUUAUAUAAAUUGCAUGCACAAAUCAACAAAUCCAUCUCCAAUAAAUUUCAGUCAAUUUUGCUAAAAUUUUUUUGUGUGUAUGCGAGUUUUUAGUUUUAGAGCCCGACCCUUAACCGGCAUCAGUUCCCUUAACCGGCAUCAGUUCCCUUAACCGGUGUUAAUUCUCUUAACCGGCGUUAUGUCGCUUAACCGGCGUCAAUUCCCUUAACCGGCGUCAGUAACCUUAACCGGCCUCAAUUCCCUGAACCGGCGUCAAUUCCCUUAACCGGCGUCAGUAACCUUAACCGGCAUCAGUAACCUUAACCGGCAUCAAUUCCCCUUAACCGGCCUCACUUCCCUUAACCGGCGUCAGUUCCCUUAACCGGCCUCAAUUCCCUUAACCGGCCUCAAUUCCCUUAACCGGCCUCAAUUCCCUUAAUCGGCGUGAAUUCCCUUAACCGGCGUCAGUAACCUUAACCGGCAUCAGUAACUUUAACCGGCAUCAAUUCCCCAUAACCGGCCUCAAUUCCCUUAACCGGCGUCAGUUCCCUUAACCGGCGUGAAUUCCCUUAACCGGCGCCAAUUCCCUUAACCGGCGUCAGUAACCUUAACCGGCAUCAGUAACCUUAACCGGCAUCAAUUCCCCUUAACCGGCGUCAGUUCCCUUAACCGGCGUCAAUUCCCUUAACCGGCCUCAAUUCCCUUAAUCGGCCUCAAUUCCCUUAACCGGCAUCAGUAACCUUAACCGGCAUCAGUUCCCUUAACCGGCGUCAAUUCCCUUAACCGGCCUCAAUUCCCUUAACCGGCAUCAGUAACCUUAACCGGCAUCAACUUGAGGACUAGGCUCCCGUGGCGCGCAGGCGAGGGGGCGCGCCGGUGGCAGAUUUUGGCCACUGGAGUGGGGGGAGGGGCGGUGGCGCCGGUGAGGUGUAGUGUGGGGAGCGAGUGCGGGCGAGGCAGGGAGGCGGAGGGGGAGAGAGGCGCCACGUCAGACAUGCCUAUGUGGCGUCACGUAGGCCAAAACAGCCAUUAAAACCACCGAGGUUGAAAAAAGGACGGUUUUAAUAGUUCAGGUGCCCUGAACAACUGGUUUCGUGGUUGAGGGUUUUAAAUCAGUAAACAAUUAUCGUUGUUAUUUUCUUAUAGUUCAAAUGUAAGCCCGAAAUAUUAUUAAAGGAUGCUCAUGGUUAUAUAUAAUUAUUGCCAUAUAACUUCAUGUGUACUCUGUAUUUCAUUUCACUUCAUUAUUCUAAAGAGAUGGCUUAUGUCGAGAAAAGAUGUCUUGAAAUUCAUGUGUACUUUGUUUGGUUCCAUCAUGAUUCUGGGAUUAGCAAGUUCAUGGGGAAGUUGGGGAUUAGUUUUUCUUAUUUGCUAAGCUGAGUUUGCACACGUGUCUUCGUAGAUGACACACUUCAUUUAUACUGUUUAGUAUACUGUUUCGGUCUCGCGCGUACGUGCGGGUGGCUCUUGCGCCACGACUUGCGCUCCUCGGCGAGGCGGCAGCAGGCGACGCCUCCGGACGCCAUCCGACGCGCUAGCUGCUCGCUCUCGCUUGUGGAUGUGGUGGACUCGAGCUUGCGCGCUGUUCGUACCGGCCACGCCGUCGUCUUCGUUCUCUCCGGCGGGGUUACAUGUGAGACCGCGAGGACGGCGGGCCGGGGGUUGAAUAGGGGGUUAGUGCGGAGCGUGGAGGUCAAGCCGAACAGAUAAACACCGAAGGUGCCACUGGCCAGGUAGAGACGUGGUCCCCGCCGUCCGGUAGAUUGGCCGCCGGGACGCCGGUGGGAUCCAGAUAUCAGCGGGAGAAGCGUGAGGGGAAGGUCUGGGACGGGAACGCGGGACUGGGCGUGGGCGCGGCGAGGCUUCGGACGCAAGGCAAGGGGUUCCGUGUUCAAGAGGACCGGUCAUGCUAAAGCAGGCAGGAUGGGACCCGCGAUGGACUGUUGUCGUUGCCGGACAACGGAGACCAGCAGUCGCUGGGCCUUGACUCUUGUGCACGCCACCGCUGCUCCGCGACUGUAGCUGUGACUCGGCCACCAGCACAUGGUGGAGGUGAGCGCGAGAGGUUUAGGGUUUAGGGUUGAUCAAGGUGAACGGGGUGGCGAUGGCUUGGCGAGGAUCCGCGUUCGCGGCGGAACCCAGGAUCCGCGUCUGCGGCGGAACCCCGUUCACCUUGGUCGUAGCGGCCGAAGAUGUCCUGGUGGCCUCGACUUCCCUCCGUCGUGGACGCGGAUCCUCAUGCUUUGGCCGCAAGAAGACGGCGGUGGCCGCAAGGUUAGUCUAGCACCUCUUCAUCGCUUGAUUCUCCCUGAACCAGUGAAUCCCAACUCAAAUCAGUCUGUGAGUUUUCGUUCUUGGUAGAUGAUGCAUUCUCCUCUUUCUUCUUGUAGGUUCGAUUGAAAUUAGGUGCAUCAUAACUAGUAUCACUUACGAACUGCACCAAUGGGGUGGUUAUGGUGGCCUGUGGAAAUCUUCUUUUUAUAUAGUAAAUUUAGGAGUAACUUUUUGGAACAAAACAAGGCCAAGAACCCACAACAGCAGCUGUCACAAUGGAGUCACAAGGACCCGGCAGCUGUUUGCCUUGCCUGCCUCACCCGCUACCGUCGGAUGAUACGUGAACGGCGGAAAACCUUGAUGGGCGAUGGGUUUCAAACCAGAUGGCCGAGGAAUCCAGUUAUCACGCCACAACCGUACAGACUUGCCAUCUCCAAUACGCCACACAACACCUUUUUUAAUCAACUCCAGCCCAUACUCAACGGCCCUCCAUGUCGCCGAAGCAUCAUUAGCUGUUACCGUGUCUAGCAGAUUACCAGAUGGGUAGUAUUUAGCUUUCAAGACUUGCGCACAAAAGCUAUCAGGGCAAAUCAGCAAGCGCCAAGCUUGGCGUGAAAGCAGUGCUUGGUUGAAUAGCUACAAAUCUUUAAAUCCCAUACGCCGUUGACCAGGUCAGUACCGGCUUGCCUCCAUCCCCUCUCUCUGCAAAACUCGUUCCUCCUCGAUGGUGAGCCAAGUUGCACGGGCGGUGGCGUCGCGCUCCAUGACGGCGUUGGCGAGGUCUCCGGUCAUGAGCUGAUUAAGCAAUUUUACUCAUGACGGCGUUGCACGCCUCCUUGGCGAGGCGCUCCUGCUCCUAGCGCUCCUCCUCGGCCUUUUGAUCGGCAGGGUUGGGAGGAGCGGAGGCCUUCUUGGCGGGGUCGAUGAGAUCGGAACCGCCGCCGAGGCCGGGAGCGGAGGGGGCUCCAGUCAUGGCGCGACAGGGAUGGAGGGCGGCGACGCCAGGGGGUAGGGGUCAGCGGCGUCGGUGGCAUCUCGCUAGGGUUGCGAAGUCCUCGUGGAGGCUACCGGCUUAUAGACAUCCACUUAGUUAUGAGUCAUCCACUUAGUUAUGAGACAUCCAUAAAUUUGGGCGAGACAUCUACUCCUCCUUGGCGAGGCGCUCCUGCUCCUAGCGCUCCUCCUCGGCCUUUUGAUCGGCAGGGUUGGGAGGAGCAGCAAUUUUACUCAUGACGGCGUUGCACGCCUCCUUGGCGAGGCGCUCAUGCUCCUAGCGCUCCUCCUCGGCCUUUUGAUCGGCAGGGUUGGGAGGACCAGAGGCCUUCUUGGCGGGGUCGAUGAGAUCGGAACCGCCGCCGAGGCCGGGAGCGGAGGGGGCUCCAGUCAUUUACAGGCGACGAGAUAUUGCAUGUGGAGUGUGCAGUACGUACCGGCUCUGUACCGGCUCUGUUCCUCUAACUAAUCCUGUGGCAUCCUUUUGCUCUGUUAUUAAACUCGUUCAGUAUUGUCAAUUUUCGUCAGUAAUAAACUGCAAGAGGUACUGCAGUCGAUGUGAGUGGUUUGUUCAAUUGAUUAACCACCGAAUGCUUCUGUAAAAAGUGGCCAACACUUCUGAAAGAUAAGAUUAUAGAGUAGUAACAUUUUGUGAUAAAACUAAGACAAGAAAGUACACUAUGCACAAGUUCCUGAAUUCUUACAGAGCCAACUUCUUUGUUUGUUUGUUCUAUUUGUUGUGGUAAAAAAAUUGUGCUUGUUCACUUUCUUGCAGGGGCGGGCCCACGUGUAUUCAUGGGUAUUCAACUGAAUACCCAUUAUUUUUGACAAAAAAAUUUGUAUGUAUAGUGUAUACCAAGCAUAUAUACCAAAACAAACAAAAAAAAAUAGCAUGUGUUCUCAUCAAUUCUAGCCCGUUAAGGCAAAAAGCUCAUCUCCCUCCUCUUCCCGAAGGCCCAAACGGCCCAAACGGUCCAAACCUAAACUCCACCCACCACCAGCCCAUCUGACCAUCUCUGAUUCAGUCGAAUCGUUCCCCAUCGACGCUCAUUCGCUCCCGUCGCGGCUCGCCCUCGCCCUCUCGUCACGCCGUCACCGCGUCGGGCGUCGGCGGGUGCUGACCCUAGGCGGCGGCCGCCGGCCAGCAGCGAACAGCCCAGGCGCGGAGGCGCCCACCAGCGGAGCAGAGAGGGCAGUUCGCGGGAGAAAAGCAGCGGGAAAGGCUGUCCCACGUUCCCUGAUUCCUAGAAUCCAGCUCAGGCUUUCGCCCUCUGCUAAUCCGUCUCCCGAGCCGUGAGAGUGCAAAGAUCGGUAUGGGCUUCUUCAAUUCCCAUUUCCUUUUUUGGUAGAAAACGCAACUCUACUUGUUUUUCGCCGAGAUGCCUUUGGUUGGUUCAUUCGUUGGGUCAUCUGUUUGUUUCUUACCCCAUUGUGAAAUCAGGAUGGAUGAUUUCGUUUCCUUGGUGUAUAGGUCGUACUAGCCAGCAGCCCAGCAAGGCGGCGGCGCGGGCACGCGGCGCGGCACUGCGGCAGGCCAGCAAGGUCCGGGAAGGCGGCGUGCAUCUCUAGGACUCCGAGCUGGGCUCCAGGAAGGUGAGCCGUGAGCCGAUUUGGAUCUGAAAAAUAGAAUAAGAGUCGUUGGACCUGCUGUUAGACCACUAGUGCUAGUGGUGAUUUACGAAUUUUGAUUUCCAUCCGUAAUCCGUUUCUGAUUGCAACUUGUGUGUUGCGUGAUUACGAAUUUUAUGUGAGAAAGGAAGACAGUAGUGCUACUACUACUGAUUUGAGGCAAUUUUUUUGCAAAGGAAGGCAUUUUAGGUUCAAAUCUAUAGGAUGCAAAUUUUCUUAUAAAUUGGUUGUUUUAUCAUCUAUUUAUUUCAGACAUUGAAGCUUUGAUAUGUUGUGUUGAAUAUCUUCAAAUUUGAAGUAAUUUUAUUAAUCGAUGAUGUUUGUACUCGAUUUUUUGUUGUGCAUUAAUAAUUUAGCCCGUCUAUAAAAAAAAUGUUCUGUUAUUUAAAAAUUUGAAUACCCAUGUUCAAAAUCCUAGGCCCGCCCCUGCUUUCUUGUGGUAUGAUUGUCCAAUAUUUCAGUUGUUUGUUCACUUUGUACACUUAACUAGUAUGUUCAAGAUGAUGUGGUAAAUUUUGUUGUGCUUGUUCACUUGGUUGCUUCUUCAAAAUUACGUGUAUGAAAUAUGGUGCUGAAAUAUAAUCAAAUUUGUAUAGUUUGUUUGGUAGUUUUUGUCCUGUUCUUGCGUUAGUAUUACUGAUAUAGGGUUCUGAUAUUGUCCAAUACAGUUUCAAGUGUUAAUGCAUCUGGUGCUGAAAUAGUCCAAUAGUAUUACUGAUAUAUGGUGCUGAAAUUGCUGUAGCAUUACUGAUAUAUGGCGCUGCAGGUCUCGUUCGAGGAGAGCAAGGGCACGGUCAUCUGUUGCUGUCCAAGGAAAGCUGGAAGGUACGCAUUUCCUCCCUGUCUCCUCUUUCUUCCUCCCUUUUCCCCUCGUUCCUUGUGUACUGUGCAUCUGGCUGUGCUUUGGAUUUUGCUAUGAACACUUCAUUAUAUGUUUAAAUAUCUGACGCUCCGUUAGUCGUUCAGAUCUAGUUUAUAUUGUCUCUACUAUGUCUUUGUAUGUGUUAAGUUCAUUCACUGUAACAUCCCGGGUGCGCUGUAGUAUGAUCGUCUACUUCUGUAUCUGGCCUCAUUUCAGGGCCCAUAUGGUGUAGCUCUAGUGUUAUCGCAUAAAUUCUUUAGGUUGCUAUAUCUCAUAGUAAUUGUGUAUACUUAUCUGCAAUUAGAUUGUCCACAUUCACAUUAUGAAGCACUCAGUUGGCUAGUGAUGUAUGCCAGGCAUUAUCCAUGCACUUGUUUAAUUUAUAAACGUGUGCACUUGGUGAUUCAUUUCAUUCUGAACCAUGAACUCGUUAUUUUUGUGAUGAAUCUGCAUCUCACGGAAAAUCUAAAUGUUAAGGUCAUCAAGUUCAUGGUCCUAGCUAGUGUAUUCAGAUUAGGAGUCAUGGUCAUAUUCUGUGGUCAUAUUCAGAUGCUUCUGUAAAUGUUAGUUUCUAUCUAUCCUAAUUUCUAUCUCUGAAUAUGGAUUUGUUCUAAUUUGUAUCUUGUUUUUUUUAUCUUGUUCUAUCUAUAGUUAGGUUGUUUCUUUUUUGAAGUCACGUUGGUGUGUACUAGUGACAGUAUCUUAGACACAAAAAAAUUCACUCGCAGUGCAUAAUUUGACAAGUCUAGGAUACGCUUUGAAGCAGAUCGUUCGAUUUGCUCUUGAUUGUUACUUUUUUAUACAUUUAAAAAUUAAUUGGCUGCUGGUUUCAGCAUAUUCUACUGAUGAUAGUUGACUUGCAAGUUGACACAACUUAUCGUUUUCUCUAGUUUUUCGCCGAGAUGCCUUUGGUUGGUUCAUUCGUUGGGUCAUCUGUUUGUUUCUUACCCCAUUGUGAAAUCAGGAUGGAUGAUUUCGUUUCCUUGGUGUAUAGGUCGUACUAGCCAGCAGCCCAGCAAGGCGGCGGCGCGGGCACGCGGCGCGGCACUGCGGCAGGCCAGCAAGGUCCGGGAAGGCGGCGUGCAUCUCUAGGACUCCGAGCUGGGCUCCAGGAAGGUGAGCCGUGAGCCGAUUUGGAUCUGAAAAAUAGAAUAAGAGUCGUUGGACCUGCUGUUAGACCACUAGUGCUAGUGGUGAUUUACGAAUUUUGAUUUCCAUCCGUAAUCCAUUUCUGAUUGCAACUUGUGUGUUGCGUGAUUACGAAUUUUAGGUGAGGAAGGAAGACAGUAGUGCUACUACUACUGAUUUGAGGCAAUUUUUUUGCAAAGGAAGGCUUAUAGGUUCAAAUCUAUAGGAUGCAAAUUUUCUUAUAAAUUGGUUGUUUUAUCAUCUAUUUAUUUCAGACAUUGAAGCUUUGAUAUGUUGUGUUGAAUAUCUUCAAAUUUGAAGUAAUUUUAUUAAUCGAUGAUGUUUGUACUCGAUUUUUUGUUGUGCAUUAAUAAUUUAGCCCGUCUAUAAAAAAAAUGUUCUGUUAUUUAAAAAUUUGAAUACCCAUGUUCAAAAUCCUAGGCCCGCCCCUGCUUUCUUGUGGUAUGAUUGUCCAAUAUUUCAGUUGUUUGUUCACUUUGUACACUUAACUAGUAUGUUCAAGAUGAUGUGGUAAAUUUUGUUGUGCUUGUUCACUUGGUUGCUUCUUCAAAAUUACGUGUAUGAAAUAUGGUGCUGAAAUAUAAUCAAAUUUGUAUAGUUUGUUUGGUAGUUUUUGUCCUGUUCUUGCGUUAGUAUUACUGAUAUAGGGUUCUGAUAUUGUCCAAUAUAGUUUCAAGUGUUAAUGCAUCUGGUGCUGAAAUAGUCCAAUAGUAUUACUGAUAUAUGGUGCUGAAAUUGCUGUAGCAUUACUGAUAUAUGGCGCUGCAGGUCUCGUCCGAGGAGAGCAAGGGCACGGUCAUCUGUUGCUGUCCAAGGAAAGCUGGAAGGUACGCAUUUCCUCCCUGUCUCCUCUUUCUUCCUCCCUUUUCCCCUCGUUCCUUGUGUACUGUGCAUCUGGCUGUGCUUUGGAUUUUGCUAUGAACACUUCAUUAUAUGUUUAAAUAUCUGACGCUCCGUUAGUCGUUCAGAUCUAGUUUAUAUUGUCUCUACUAUGUCUUUGUAUGUGUUAAGUUCAUUCACUGUAACAUCCCGGGUGCGCUGUAGUAUGAUCGUCUACUUCUGUAUCUGGCCUCAUUUCAGGGCCCAUAUGGUGUUGCUCUAGUGUUAUCGCAUAAAUUCUUUAGGUUGCUAUAUCUCAUAGUAAUUGUGUAUACUUAUCUGCAAUUAGAUUGUCCACAUUCACAUUAUGAAGCACUCAGUUGGCUAGUGAUGUAUGCCAGGCAUUAUCCAUGCACUUGUUUAAUUUAUAAACGUGUGCACUUGGUGAUUCAUUUCAUUCUGAACCAUGAACUCGUUAUUUUUGUGAUGAAUCUGCAUCUCACGGAAAAUCUAAAUGUUAAGGUCGUCAAGUUCAUGGUCCUAGCUAGUGUAUUCAGAUUAGGAGUCAUGGUCAUAUUAUGUGGUCAUAUUCAGAUGCUUCUGUAAAUGUUAGUUUCUAUCUAUCCUAAUUUCUAUCUCUGAAUAUGGAUUUGUUCUAAUUUGUAUCUUGUUUUUUUAUCUUGUUCUAUCUAUAGUUAGGUUGUUUCUUUUUUGAAGUCACGUUGGUGUGUACUAGUGACAGUAUCUUAGACACACAAAAAUUCACUCGCAGUGCAUAAUUUGACAAGUCUAGGAUACGCUUUGAAGCAGAUCGUUCGAUUUGCUCUUGAUUGUUAUUUUUUUAUACAUUUAAAAAUAAAUUGGCUGCUGGUUUCAGCAUAUUCUACUGAUGAUAGUUGACUUGCAAGUUGACACAACUUAUCGUUUUCUCUAUUGUAGGACAGCAGGUCCCCAGAUGAAGAGUCAGAAGUUGGGCGCACAAGGAGAAAGAGAUGAGCGCUUGUGUAUUGACUUUGGCUUUAAGGCCCAAGAGGUUAUGGAAGCAGCGGCUUGUCUUGAUGAAGCAGAGCGAGAUGAAGUUAAGCAACUUGGGUAUGGAGCUUUCCUAAACCUAAAGUUGGGACCAAUCAGCCAGCGCAAGGAAACCUAUCUGUGUAUGGAGCUAGUUGAUCUGGAAGAGGAUGCGAUCAAGGUGCAGCUACAAAAUGAUGUAAUUGUAUACAUCAGACCAGAUGAGAUCUAUGAUCUCUUGAUGCUGCCCCAAGGUACUAAGGCCCCCCUCAAGUACAAUUCGCAACAACAUGAGGACUUUGCUCGAUUGAAGGCUGAAUUGGGUGAAACGUUGUUGGACACUGCGAAUAUAUUGAAGUUUAUGAAAAAAGAGGAGAACAAACAUUUGAAGGUCAAAUGUUUUUUCAACAUUCUCUUUUCAAGAUUUCUAAUGCCUACCACUUCACAAAGUAUAAACGUACAUGCAGUGAUGUACACAAGGAAUUUGGCAAGCCUCAAGGAAUAUAACAUGUGUAAAAUAGUGUAUGAGCAUCUCAGGGGUUCUAUCAAAAUUUGGAAGGAGCAGAGGCAGAAUGCAAAAAACAAGGCAUCACUUACUAUGCCUGGUUGCCCAAUCAUAGUUCUGGUAAGCAUUCUGGUGCUCUCAUCAAUUACUAGCUUUUUUUACCUGCCCAGCUAGCUGUCAUCUUUGGAUUUUUUUUAUCGUGCUUGAGUUGCCUGCUUCAUAUGGAUUUGAUGUGCCUGCUUCACAGUUAACUUGUUUAACUGUAUAUUCGGUUGUCAGGGAUUUAUUGUCGAUAAUUUGAAACUGACGGAUAGUGUAAACAAGAAUCGUCCUCGGCUCAAUGAGUAUGAUAUGGCGACUUUGACGGAUACUAUUCGUAAGGCUAAGGUCAAUGGCAGGAUCUCCUUCGAGAACUUUGAGGUAUUGAUCAUCUCUUUAUCUUGAAAGCAUACUAUGCCGUACUUGGCUUCAUAUCUUACAUCUUCUCUUCAAUUUCCCAUUUCAGUUGAAAUCUCUAGAGGAGAUCUGCUAUGCGCCAUCAUCAAGAUUUUGCAUCCAGUCCGCAGUUGACUCCCAAGAUGUAAGAUCUGCUAUGGUGACUUCUGCCGUGGUAACUUUGCCUGAGUCUCAAGAAGCUAUCCAGUCCGCAGUUCAGAUCCUUUCUUCAGUGCAGAAUCCUGAAUCUUUUGGAGUUGACCGAGCAAAUCUUGAUGCAUGCAUAGCUGGAUUAUCUGCAUUGCAGCCAGUUGGUGCUUCCUGCAGCAAUGUUGGUGCCUCCUGCAGCAUUUCUGAAGCUGCUGAAGCUACCAGCACAAAGAAGGCUGAUGAAGAAGAGACCAUUGCAUUGCAGCCAGUUGGCUCUUCCUGCAGCAAUGUUGGUGACUCCUCCAGCAUUUCUGACAACACAAAGAAGGCUGCUGCUGCUGCGGUGCCUGAAGCUGCCAACACAGCUGUGCAUGAAGAAGGGAUUUCUAAAGCUGCCAAGUCAAGAAGCCGUGCUACCAAGACGCCUGGUCUACCAACAAGGAGGAGCGCGAGGCUCAAUGCUGCUGCUGUUGAGCCCAAUGCUGCUGUUGAGCCCGGUGAUGUAAUUUCACCAAUUAAGUCACCAAUUAAGAAGCUAGCCAAAAAAAACAAAAACAAGUAAGAAGAACGUUGAUGAGCCUAGUUCCCCGUGCUACUGCAAGUUGCUCCCUAGCUAUGACGCAGCAGGGUGUCAGUGUGUCACCUCUGCUGUGUUUUGAGCUGUUCUUUUGCCCCGCUGUGGGUGUGUGUUAAAACUUGUUGACGUUGAAGCCAUGACUUGCUAGUUUUUUUCUUCACAUUCAGAUUUCAGGAGCUUGUCCUGGUUGCAGAACUAGUGGAAGAAGGCACGCCUGAAAGAAGGAAGAAGUGAUCCUGCUGCUAAUGCAUGAUAGGUUGUACAUACAGUAGCUGGUAGCUGGUAGCUGGUAGCUGGCGGUAGUAGAUGUAUAUUUUGAAGCUGCAAUGCUGCAGGGCUGUUAUCUAGAAAGAGGGCUGGUUGCCAUGAAACUCCUCAAUACCGUAUUUGUUAAUGCCUAGUUCUUUAGCUCGAGGUUGCCGCCGAAAUGGAGUACUUUAAAACCCCUUGUUGAAGCUAAAACCUUCCUCGUAAAACCGGUUUUAUUAUGUCGUCGAGCAGACCAUUAAAUAUUAAGUAUGAACUUUGUGCUUUCUGGCGAGAUAGUACUUCAGGUUUUACUAUUUCUCUCUGGGCUACUAAAAUCUCCUUUAUAAAACCGGCUUUAUUAUACCGUCGAGCAGAUGAGCACUUCGGGUUUCACUCGAUGUCUCUGGGGUGCUAAAACCUUACUGAAUAGAUGUAUCCAUAUCAAAAGUAAAUAUGAGACGUCGGUAAAGUGUGAUGACUGCUUUUUUUCAACGUUAUUUAGUAUGAAAUAAGUUGUAAGGAGACAAAGUUUCAGUUAAUAUUACCUACUCUAUGCAGACAUCCAUUUGGGGGAGGGAAAAAAAGUUAAUUAGUUGAGUGGAGCCUUGCAAAGAAAUAUUGCUUCCACUUAGAGGGUCAUCAUCUACAACUAAUUAACUUUCAAAUUAAUAAAAAGCAGGAUGCAUUAUAAGCAGGAUGCAUUACAAACUCGUCCCAAUUUCGUUUACGCGCGGCCCACUGCGGAAGGCCGAGCCCAGCAGCCUGUUUACAGCCCUCCCCGCUCCGCCACCCUCCCGACCAGAUCUGAACUCUCCCUCAGACCUCGCUCAACCCUCCCCGCUCCUCCUCCCCACCUGCGCCGCCGCCACCUUCACCGUCGCCCCGAGCCGCCGCCGCCACCGCCGCCUUCGUCUCACCGGCGCCAUCAAAAGAUUCUUCACCCUCUUCUCACCGGCAGACAGCAGGUUCAGGUCAGUAAUCGACCAUUAUGAUUUAGAUGAUUAGUUGAAGUUAGUUUAGGUACCACAUUUGAAGGGGAAAUGAUGGCGCAAAGGGUAUCUUCUGCAUGUUUCCAUGAUGUCCUUGGCGAGGCGCUCCUGCUCCUAGCGCUGCUCCUCGGCCUUUUGAUCGGCAGGGUUGGGAGGAGCGGAGGCCUUCUUGGCGGGGUCGAUGAGAUCGGAACCGCCGCCGAGGCCGGGAGCGGAGGGGGCUCCAGUCAUGGCGCGACAGGGAUGGAGGGCGGUGACGCCAGGGGGUAGGGGUCAGCGGCGUCGGUGGCAUCUCGCUAGGGUUGCGAAGUCCUCGUGGAGGCUACCGGCUUAUAGACAUCCACUUAGUUAUGAGUCAUCCACUUAGUUAUGAGACAUCCAUAAAUUUGGGCGAGACAUCUACUCCUCCUUGGCGAGGCGCUCCUGCUCCUAGCGCUCCUCCUCGGCCUUUUGAUCGGCAGGGUUGGGAGGAGCAGCAAUUUUACUCAUGACGGCGUUGCACGCCUCCUUGGCGAGGCGCUCCUGCUCCUAGCGCUCCUCCUCGGCCUUUUGAUCGGCAGGGUUGGGAGGAGCGGAGGCCUUCUUGGCGGGGUCGAUGAGAUCGGAACCGCCGCCGAGGCCGGGAGCGGAGGGGGCUCCAGUCAUGGCGCGACAGGGAUGGAGGGCGGCGACGCCAGGGGGUAGGGGUCAGCGGCGUCGGUGGGAUCUCGCUAGGGUUGCGAAGUCCUCGUGGAGGCUACCGGCUUAUAGACAUCCACUUAGUUAUGAGUCAUCCACUUAGUUAUGAGACAUCCAUAAAUUUGGGCGAGACAUCUACUCCUCCUUGGCGAGGCGCUCCUGCUCCUAGCGCUCCUCCUCGGCCUUUUGAUCGGCAGGGUUGGGAGGAGCAGCAAUUUUACUCAUGACGGCGUUGCACGCCUCCUUGGCGAGGCGCUCUUGCUCCUAGCGCUCCUCCUCGGCCUUUUGAUCGGCAGGGUUGGGAGGAGCGGAGGCCUUCUUGGCGGGGUCGAUGAGAUCGGAACCGCCGCCGAGGCCGGGAGCGGAGGGGGCUCCAGUCAUUUACAGGCGACGAGAUAUUGCAUGUGGAGUGUGCAGUACGUACCGGCUCUGUUCCUCUAACUAAUCCUGUGGCAUCCUUUUGCUCUGUUAUUAAACUCGUUCAGUAUUGUCAAUUUUCGUCAGUAAUAAACUGCAAGAGGUACUGCAGUCGAUGUGAGUGGUUUGUUCAAUUGAUUAACCACCGAAUGCUUCUGUAAAAAGUGGCCAACACUUCUGAAAGAUAAGAUUAUAGAGUAGUAACAUUUUGUGAUAAAACUAAGACAAGAAAGUACACUAUGCAAGAAAGUACACUAUGCACAAGUUCCUGAAUUCUUACAGAGCCAACUUCUUUGUUUGUUUGUUCUAUUUGUUGUGGUAAAAAAAUUGUGCUUGUUCACUUUCUUGCAGGGGCGGGCCCACGUGUAUUCAUGGGUAUUCAACUGAAUACCCAUUAUUUUUGACAAAAAAAUUUGUAUGUAUAGUGUAUACCAAGCAUAUAUACCAAAACAAACGAAAAAAAAUAGCAUGUGUUCUCAUCAAUUCUAGCCCGUUAAGGCAAAAAGCCCAUCUCCCUCCUCUUCCCGAAGGCCCAAACGGCCCAAACGGUCCAAACCUAAACUCCACCCACCACCAGCCCAUCUGACCAUCUCUGAUUCAGUCGAAUCGUUCCCCAUCGACGCUCAUUCGCUCCCGUCGCGGCUCGCCCUCGCCCUCUCGUCACGUCGUCACCGCGUCGGGCGUCGGCGGGUGCUAACCCUAGGCGGCGGCCGCCGGCCAGCAGCGAACAGCCCAGGCGCGGAGGCGCCCACCAGCGGAGCAGAGAGGGCAGUUCGCGGGAGAAAAGCAGCGGGAAAGGCUGUCCCGCGUUCCCUGAUUCCUAGAAUCCAGCUCAGGCUUCAGGUCAGUAAUCGACCAUUAUGAUUUAGAUGAUUAGUUGAAGUUAGUUUAGGUACCAUAUUUGAAGGGGAAAUGAUGGCGCAAAGGGUAUCUUCUGCAUGUUUCCAUGAUGCUAUGGUGUAUUAUUUUUUUAGACACAAAAAUCAUGAGGAGCACUGAAUCCAAACAUAGGUACAACACUCACUAAGAAGUCUACUGGAGACUGGAGUAACUAAAUUGUUAGCUGACCCUACCCUGUUCCAAUUUCAUAGUGUUUACUUUUUUCUACAUAUAGUUUGGAUAUCAUGUAACAUCUUGGGUCAAAGGCCAAAGGCAAGUUUGCAUGGCGAUAUGACCGAUCUCCUUACGGACUCGAGGACUGCAUCAUAGAACUUGAGGUCGCCAUCGUCGAGCGCGUAGGAGACGCAGAGCCGUGCGUCGGCUCGGAGAUCACGGCACUGGGUGUAUUCCAUGGCCUUGGAUCACACACGAAACCUGGCGCAGAGCACUCUCCUGGUCUCUUGGCCCUCCGCCAGAGCCACUAGAGCAAUAGCAAUGGCACCCUCCACGAGCUCCCUCAGUCCCGCAACCCUAGCGUAAAUCCUGCAGGGGCACGCCAUGGAUCCCGCUGCCUCCACCCGCGCUAGUAGAGCUCGUGACGUACAUCUGCAUGCCUGCGCCUCCUUCCCCUCCCCUCAGCCGCCUCAUUCUCUACAUUUUUUACAGCAGCAUCUCUCUCGGGUAUCAUCUAUGUUUGGAUUUUGUUCAAAGGUAUGAUGGUUACUCUACUUCGUAGAUCCCCAUUCUUUAAUAGUUGCUUUCCAGUUUCUUCUGUAUCAACCAACUCUUUUGUGAGCUCCUCUGCUCUGUUUGGAUUUUGUUCAAAGGUAUGAUGGUUACUCUACUUCGUAGAUCCCCAUUCUUUAAUAGUUGCUUUCCAGUUUCUUCUGUAUCAACCAACUCUUUUGUGAGCUCCUCUGCUCUUCUUUUCAUAUCAGCCGCCUCAUUCUCUACAUUUUUUACAGCAGCAUCUCUCUCGAGUAUAGACCUUAAAAAUAAAAAAACUAUUAACUUUUUUAGGAGUCAAUGGGCCGAUGGACGCGCUGUAAAGUGGAAACAACCACCGCCUUUUCUCUCGUCCCUCAAAGUCGGCUGGCUUGCAAAUGUCCAAUAGAUGCGUCUUGUUUGGAUUUUGUUCAAAGGUAUGAUGGUUACUUUACUUUGUAGAUCCCCAUUCUUUAAUAGUUGCUUUCCAGUUUCUUCUGUAUCAACCAACUCUUUUGUGAGCUCCUCUGCUCUUCUUUUCAUAUCAGCCGCCUCAUUCUCCAAAGUUAGCCGAGUGUCUCGCGUCCACGUCCCCGUCGCCGCCGAAGUCGAAGUCGAAUCACCGUGCGUUGUGUGCGUGUCGGUGUGGUUUCUCGCACACGUUAGGGUUGGGUUUAUAACAAACGAAUGGUUCUCACGGACGGCGGCACUUGGCAUGCGGCAGGGCAACGCCUCGGCUUCGUUGAAUAGGUCAACUGAAUGGUACCAUCCUAUUCAGUUUUGUUCAGCCCCCGAGCCCUCGGAAGGUUCGCACUCGGGGGUAGAGUUUUUCCGCCCUCGGAAGGUUCACACUCGGGGGUAGAGUUUUUCCGCAAUCUUUUUCACCCUUCUAUCAAGUUUUACUGUUAACUAUAUUUACACCCUUCUAUCACUAUAUUUACAGUGACUUUUUCAAUGUAAUUUAUUGAAUAGAGUGGUGUAAUUUGAUAAUAACCCAAAUAUAUGUCAAAAUUUUUCAAACAAACAAGAGGACGAUGAAGCCGUCCAUGGUAACCCAUUGGGUGAAAUCUGGCUCGGCGUGAUGCCGAAGUGGGCAAGCACCUCGAGGAAGAACACGUGUAGCAGGACGCGCAUGCCGGCCUCCAUCACCACACAGAGACCAACAUUGGUGGACCAGAGGGAUUGCACAGCAAUCAGAUAUUAGACUCUGGAACCAGGUUGGCAGUUACAAUAGUAGCAUACAUCUCAGGCAUAUAUUCAUAGAAGGAUCCUUGGUUCAGCUAACACAUAAUAGUUCAUUAGUCCAUACCAGUACUCUACACAGUUCAUUAGUACCCUACACAGUUCAUUAGUACCCUACACCAACAAAAGGCACCAGACGACUCAGGCACAGGAGCAGCUUCGAUGACAGAUGGCAUGGAAACAGAGUACCAGGUGGAGUGAGGUUGACACAUGGGCAACCUCUAUAUUAUGGCUUCAGCACCUCCCUAAGUUCAUUAGCAGAAGUCCAUCAUCCUAAGUGCAUUAGCCUAAGGGGCCAGAAUAAGUCGGCUGAAUGCUUCAUCCGCCCCAUUCAUAUGUCCCACUACAAACCACCCAAUCAAUGCGAAAAGAACACACAGUGCCACACUCCCAGGUUUCACUGUAAUUUUCAGCUUUUGAGGCUCAUUCUUCAUCAGUCGCAGCUCAUUCUUCAUCAGUCCCAAUGAAUCAGCCGUCGAUUCCACAUGUUGAUCCACGGUUGCCAGCAGCUCAGUCUUCAUCAGUUCUAAUGCAGUAGCCGUCGAUUGCUUGUGUUGAUCCAUGGCUGCCAGCAGCUCAGUCUUCAUCAGUUCUAAUGCAGCACCCACCUCUACCAUCUUGAGCUCCAGGUUUUCCUUCGUCUCUCUGAUGGAUUUGGUAAGAGAAUCGAUGGCUUGCUCAUAAUCAUUAAGUGCUAUCAUUAACAACUGAGUGACAUGGGGAGGAUCAGAGAUAAUCCCAUCCUUGAUUAACAAAAUAGCAUAGCUCCCUUCCCAGUGGAAAAAAUCACAUGACCUCCCAUCCUGUAUAGAAGAAAAAUGGAAUAUGGUCACGUGAUGGUUGAAGUGGAUCAUAUCAUUUGGUGAUUGGUUGGUACAUGUGUUGCAUCAACAUUGGAGGAGAUGGAAUGGAAUGCGCAAGGCAAAGGUAUAACCUAGGGCAUUUCCAUUUCACCGGUCAUAGGUGUGUAGAGAAGUUUAUGACCGGAUUUAGGAUAGAUGGCCGUACUAUCAAGAGGGGCAAACUUGUUUGCAUAUCGGUCAUCUAGUGCCACUUGAGCGAUCUAACUUUGCAUAGGUGUUAGGAUCGAGUGGGGUGGCAAGUUGAGAGGCUAACUCCUUUGGGAAAUUGUUUGUGAAAAGCUAACACACUUGCACAUUCGGCGCUUUUAAGAAAAUUAAGUGCAUAUUUUCUAUUGCGUCGGUGGGAAAUUUGAAGAAGUCGCAGGAGUGUUUCUCGUGGACGCUGGUGUUGGCAGCACCGGACGCUGGUCCAGAGCGUCCGGUGUGGUGUCUUUGACUCAGUGUGCAGAGCGCACCGGACGCUGGCACCGGACGCUGGGCGGUUACUGUUCGAGCGUCCGGUGAUGCGUGACGACAGCGAGUGCACGCGAGGAGUUUCUGACCGGCGAGCACCAGACGCUCAGGGUGCGUCCGAUGGUUUACGUCCGGUGACCGUGCGAGUUUGCAGAGGUGGACUCGUUGAGCGUCCGGUGGUGCUGUGCAGGCGCGCGUGCGCAGUAGCCGUUGGCGGCAACGGUCGAGUUCAAACGGCUAGUGACACGUGGCUGACGCCUGAGCACCGGACGCUUGGGGUUGAGCGUCCGGUGGCUCCUUAUGAGCGUCCCGUGCCCUCGUGUUUUGCCCAGUGAAGGGGCAACGGCUAGUUUAGCCCUUGGGGCUAUAAGUAGAAGUGGUGGCCGGCCUUGACCGGUGCUGAGCACCCUUGGGACUUAGUGUCCAUGCUUGGGGAGUGCUAGGAAAGCCUCUAACUCACUUGUGCUUGCAAGAGUCAAUAGCGAGUGAGUGAUUCUAGUGCGUUGCAUUGAGAGAUUGCAUCUAGUGGCACUAGGUGUUCGUGUUGCAAGCCAGUGGUGCUUGUUACUUUUGGAGGUUGCCACCUCCUAGACGACUUGGUGGCUUGUGACUCCGUCGAAGCACGCAAGGAGAUUGUGCGGUGCUCCGGAGAAUAGAUUGUGAGGGGUAUGGUGCUCACCCCGCGGGGAUCGCGAAGAGCAACUCUAUUGGAUCGUGCGUGUCAUUGAGCUACCUCAUUUGUGGGUAGGUUCUUGCGGUGUCCUAGUGGGGACGAGGUUCGUGUAACACCUCUUAGCCGCCGAACCACCAAGUGUUGGUCGACACAACGGGGACGUAGCUUGGUGGCAACCAAGUGAACAUCGGGAGAAAAUCAUCGUGUCAACUUUGUUCUUCCCGUUGGUUUGCAAGUCCCUAACACAAGCUUGUUUUUUACAUUCAUAUAUUUGUGCUUGUGUAGUUGCUCUUGUAAUUAGUUAGCUUGUGUAGCUUGCUAGUUACCUUCUUGCUUGUGUAGCUAGAAGUAGUUCCCUUGCGUGACUAAUUUGGUUUGUGUAACCUUGUUAGUCACAUUGCUUAGUUUGUGUAGCUAAGCAAUUUGCGCUCUCUAAUUUGGCAUUAGUUGCCUUAUUAUUGAGCAUUGCUAGUGAGCUUAGGAGCUUUGUGCUUUUUGCUUACUAGUUGUGUAGGAGCUUCCCAGUUUGCAAAGUACUAGUUGCAUAGGUUUGUGUGACCUUGCUUCUAGAUUUGGUUAGGUGAACUCUUGCUAAGGUAGCACCUUACUUGCUUGUUUAGGAUCUUUUCAAGGUGUUAGAGAACUUAGAUAGAGGGGUAUAGUCUUGGCUAGACCGAUAGUUUUAAUUCCGCAUUUGUUUCGGUUAGCCGGCGCGAUAAAUUUAGAAAGGACUAUUCACCCCUCUCUAGUCCGCCAUCUCGACCCUUCACGGUGUCGUUGUCGCCGUCGACUAGUGGUGAAGCUAGAGCAAAUAAAAAGGUGGUGCAUUUCUUUUAUAAAAACAUAAACUCUGGCUAUAAUCAUGAUGAAAAAUUGAUUUACUUAAUGAUGUUUAAUUUUUUUUGGGUGUACGUGCACACACUGCCUUGUAUGUGGCUUCGCCACUGCCGUCGACUCCGGCGACGAUGGAUGUCCGUACGUGCGACGCUGGAGGAGACUAAGGUCACGACGUCGUCGGCGAGGUGGAGGCUCGGUGCUACAGCUGCUCGCCGAGGUGGUGCCGUGGCCGGUGCGCACGCCGCGGCUGCUGCCGCACGGUGAACGGCGAGGCGAGGGCGAAGAGCAGCAGGUGGAGGAGAGGUCGCGGCCGUGGACGUGGUGCUGCGUGCGCGCCCAACACGGCAGUCGUGUGGCUCCAUGGCGGCAGCGGCGUGGUCGCACCGUCGCGGCCAUGGCGGCCUUGGGGGCUGGGAAGGUAGGCAGAGGGGAUGCUGUGGCGGCUGGCGUGCGGAGUAGGUGAGGCGAGGCUGGUCGAGGGUCUUUAUAGCCAGGCGACUAGGGCUCGGCGCAGGGAGAGGCGUCCUUGCAGGUGGCCGUGAUCGUCUGAGUGCGUGCUCGCGGACACGCGGCCUCCAUCCGCGGCUCAUGUAGGUGAGCGAGCCGAGAAGGUUCGAGAAGCACUCGGCCGCGUUAGUCCGAGGCGUGGUCAAGAUGAGUCCGCACUGGCGUAGGCAGCAACGAUGGGAAAUGGAGCUGCGCCGUCGGAAGGGAAGAGGGAGCGCGUACGGUCGGAGGAAAAAGGAAACGACGCUGGCCGCUGGAUGGAAAAGAGACGGAGAUUCGGCGUCAUCCCGUGCGUGUGCUUUGCUCGUGAGAGGGUAGGGCUGGCUGCCCCUUGUGCUUAGCUGGGCUGGUUCAGUCCUCAGUCGGCUGCAUGGGCCAAGACCGAAAGGAGUGGCCUAGGAACAGCAGUGGAUACAUGUUGAGUGCAGUGCCGUGCAUGGUUGCUUGGCUAAAUACGUGGUUCACGUACAAACAAAGACACAGGAGCAUGCAGCUUGGUGCCACGUACUGCCACACCACGUGCAUGCACAGGAAUUAGGAGAUGGAAAUUAGGAAAGAGGGGGCCUGGUGAUUAGAGAUUAAAUAGGGAAUUAGGAGAAAACUACCUCCAAGCACAAAAAAAAGAACCAAACAUUCAUGCAUCUAACUAAACAUGGUGCAUAAAAAUAUUUGUAAAUCCAGUUCGAAGAAGAUGGGAGAGAGUUGGGGUUUGUGUUUUAGGAAAUAAUAAAUCAUAAGUAAUGCUGCAUGUUAAAUUCGAGUGCGGCUCGAAUUCAACCAAGGUUUUAAUUUUUCUCCGAAAACAUUUUAUUUGAAAACGUCGUUUGUCAUGUAGGUGAUCAAUCCAGGUGACAACGGUUUGUUGUAAAAAGUUUUUAAGAUCGGAUUUUGAAUUUGGGCAGGAAGGAGAAGCAUUUGACUUAAGUUCGACCUAACAAUUCACAUGCAACACACAUUCAAACAAAAUUUUUAACAAGUCGGGAUUUUUCUAUUACACAAAUUCUCGGAAUGUUACAUUGAAACUCUUCUGCAUUGUUUCCAAAAUAUAGAUGUGUUGAAAACAAACUCAUGAAACCCUACAGAGGAUGGUCUUAUCGGAGUCAUUGUAGAAUCAUGGGCAGUGACCAAGGAGAAAAUAAUUCGACCAAUGAAGAGAGUUGUAUGCAAAUAGUUAAAUUAAUUAGACCAGUGAGAGGAGCCGCAUGUGCUUAAAAAAGAUAAAAAUAAUUAUUCCUAGUUUAGAUAACUCUGAUUUUUAAAGAAUUUUUUCGGGUAAACUACGAUAAAUAGAUGGAGAGAGAGUACGUGCCAAGCACGCUUUCGGAUAAAGAAGUUCAAAAGGAGGAUGGUUGUAACAUCAGUCUUCCCAAUACUAGAAAUUAUAUAUAGUUGUUAUAUUUAUCAAUUUUGAUAGACACUUCAUAUAAAAAUCAUAGUUCAUGGAUAAUUUCUACAAAUCAAUAUUUUAUCAAAUCGCAUAUAUUCUACCUCCAUUCUCUCUGUCAAUCAUAUUCCUCUGCGUCUUGGUUCUCGUGUAAACAUGAUUUUGUCUUGGUUCUCGUGUAGACAUGAUUUUUAACUUAGACCUAGUUUGUAUGAUUCUUAUCUCUUUUCAAUAACUACUUUGUUACAUCAGCAAAAACACUAUAUGACAAUAUAAUUAAUGUUCAUAUAAACUAUGAUGGUUUCUGUAUUAAAAGUGUACUUAGUGCAUCAUCAUUCAUCAAUGAACAAUUGACAGCCAUGGACAUUAACUUCUCAGCAUACAAACUCUUAGUCUUAAAUGAAAUAGAGUGAAUUCCAUUGAGAAAUUUUAAGAUUUUCUUAACCUGGAGAAAGGCUUUGCGAGUAAGCAGUUCGGUAAAAAUACAUCCAGCGGCCCAAAUAUCCACCCCCAGGCCCCAGAUCCAUACUGCUUCGAGCCAAAUAAUAAUUCUGGUGCCCGGUAAGAACGUGCAAAGACCUACUUCAUCCGUCCUAUAAAUAAUUAUAUUUUUUACCUUUAUGAUUAAUAUUUGACUGUUCGUUUUAUUUCAAAAAAUUUUAAUAAAUAUUAUUUAUUUUUUCAUAACUUAUUUUAUAGUUAGAUAUAUUUUUAUAAUGAUGUAUUUAUUUUAUUAUUUGCAAAAAAACUUAAAUAAAAUGAAUGGUCAAAUAUAAAUCAUAUUAGUCAAAAAAUAUAUUUAUUUGUGGAACGGAGAGAGUACGCGUAAAAACAGUUAAAAGUCAGGUGCCUGCCAUCACCAGGGUAAAAUAAGAGGGCAUUUGGUUAAAGGUGCCGAAACUUUAACAGGUACUACAAUAUAUUUAUAACUAAAGUAUUUAGUGUUUAAUUAUAGACUAAUUAGAUUUAAAAAAGAUUGUCUUAUAAACUAUUUUCAGCUCUAUUUUUUGUUUGGCAAAUACUUCGUACAUACUCCCAGAUCCAUACUGUUUCUGGUGCCCGGUACGAAGGUGCAAAGACCUACGCGUAAAAACAGUUAAAAGUCACGUGCCUGCCACCACCAGAGUAUGUCCAAACAUGGAUAGAUGUUCAAAAAAAAAAAAACAGCACAAACUAACGAGGCCUAAAUCUAGUCUUCUAGUUACUAAAGGAAUGAAAUACAAGGGAAACUCUAAAUAACUGCUCAACACAGAGAAUUAGAGUUGGCCUUUGACUGCAUAGAAUGUUACUAAAUAGGAACUAUGAUGAGCAGAACUUCCAGUUCAGAUGACAAACAGCGAUGGUAAUUAUGUAAGAAAAAUGAUAUCCUUCACAAAUGAGUACUCCCAAAUAAAAUAAAUUUACUAACUGACACAGUUCCAAUUAUCACUGCUCUUGCAAGGAAGCUGCAUAGUCAACAAAUUUCGGCAUGCCAUGGUUUUUCGGGGCGCCGUCUAAGGCUUUCGGGAAAAAAAUUCAAGAUUCUCCGUCACAUCGAAUCUUGCGGCAUAUGUAUGGAGUAUUAAAUUUAGACGAAAACAAAAACUAAUUACACAGUUUACCUGUAAAUCGCGAGAUAAAUCUUUUGACCCUAAUUAGUCUAUGAUUGGACAAUAUUUACCACAAACAAACGAAAGUGCUACCGCAAAAUCUAAAAUUUUUGCCAGCUAAACAAGGCUUAAGUAGGAGUAAUCAUCCAUGCGACCAUGCCGGCACGCAGAUUUGAAAGUCCAGCAAUGCAGGAAUGCAGGGUAAGCAAAUGCAGCUUUUGGUAUUAGGAAUCAGGAUCCGGAAUUCAGCAUUGUUACACCGUGUAAAGCGAAACCAAUGAUGCAGAAUGGGAAACCACUUGAGCAGGUUAAUAUUUAUGGACAAGAAUGAAUGACAGUACUGAGACGUGUUUUAUGCCUAGCAAGCAGCGCUUGUUGCUCAUGCCAUCUGAAAGCAGCUCCACAAGGAAACCAAUUUUUUUGUCAGAAGUUAAACAGUACUACAAGAUAACUGGGGCACAAGUAGAGCAUUACGUGUGAUCUACUGAUGACAGAAUUAAGCCUAGAAAAAGCUUUCCCAAACAACAUGACCAUCAGGUUCCCGCCUCUUUAUCAGCUCCCACUGAAGGUAAGUUGGUGCCAACUGGGGCACAAGUAGAGCAUUACGUGUGAUCUACUGAUGACAGAAUUAAGCCUAGAAAAAGCUUUCCCAAACAACAUGACCAUCAGCUUCCCGCCUCUUUAUCAGCUCCCACUGAAGGUAAGUUGGUGCCAUUGGAAACCUCACAUAGUUGACGAGUUCAGAGCCCUCCGCCUUGUAAGGCGCAUUGCGUGGUGCAUCCUCGCCCUCCUCGGUGCUCUCCUUGGUAUAAGACCUGUACGGCUCCAUUCUGUGUACAGUUCGAUUUCUCCAAUAAUCGAUCAGCCUCAGUUGUUUGAUCAUCUCUUCCUGCUCAUUACUCAACACACUUUGGUUCCUAGGUGGAUUGAUCCCCAAAUCAUUUAAGCAACCUUUCUGGUAUUUAUUCAGGUUCCGCUGAUCUGGUUUGUUUUGUGGUACCUCAUAACUCUCAGGUCUUCUAUUGAUAGGGUAACUGAGCAAGGCAUUGUUCAUAACUUUUUUCUUCCAGCCAUCCACAUAUGGUAAUUUAUCCAGAAUUGCUCUGAACUCCUCAAAUGAUAACACAGAUCUGAUGGUCUCAUACAUCUUUUGGAAGAAAAAUGAGCACUGCGUCAAAGGAACCAACGAGGCAUGAACUGGAAACAUUGACCUGGACUCGAAUUCCCUCUCAAUUACAUUGAGCAGGUGCAAGAUAUCUUCAGGAAUGUUGUACUGUAUACCAGUUGGAGUAAUAAGCUUGAAGAGAUCUCGAAUAAUGUUAGCAGCACACUUGAAGUUUCUAUGGAGACGCCUCUUGAAUUCUGGACCUCUGCGAAGACAACUGAUAAUGGUGACAUUCUUGAAUUUCACUUUUCCUGUUUCAGUAAGUACAAUAUUAUCUUCAGUGAAAUCCUCAAAACAGAUUUGCAACGCUUCAUUGAUAACAAGGCCCUUGAGCAUAGUCCUGAUACAUUUCUUGCAGCGUUCGCUGGCAAUGGUAAAGCUUUUAGGGUCUUCAGUUUCCCCGGGCAAUGGAUUACAUCCAUCUUCAUCCAGCCCUACGAGAACAACUUUUGGAACGAGCAUGUGGUACUUCAGCUUGUACACCUUCAAGUCAAUGUAAUGUUCACAGUGUACUUGUCCAGACAUGACACACAGGUCAUAGGCUACAUACGGUAGGGUUCCUGCAGAAAAAAAACUACGUGAUUGACAGGAAUAGAAAUCAUCUAAAAAUAAGAUAGAAGUAUGGAAGUUAAUUUAAGAAGCCAGCGAACAGUAAAAACAUAUUUGCAAGCUAAAAGGUUAGUAGGUAGUGGUGUAAAGUGGCAUCAUUCAGAUUAUAAUGUUCCUAUAGACAGUUUAUAUCCAGCUAAGAAUAUAUCCCAAACACUAUGCAAUCUCAGAAUUUCAUGUAAAGCUGCUCACUUGAGAAACUUCCGGAUGGCACCCCCAGCAAGACGAACAAAUGAUGUUCAGCAUAUUUUACCAGCCUAGCAUGCUUCUGUAGUGUAGCCCUCAACACAGAUGUCUCCUACAGAUACAGAAUAAAGUGCAAGUUAAAUAAGGUAUGUGUGCUUCCAUCAAUUUUUUUUUGCAACUAGACUGUUACUUGUAACAACACUAGCAUUCAAAAUGGGAACCAGCACUUUCAGGAGAAUGAGUCAGUGAAGCAUUGGGGAGGGGGAACUUACAGGCAACACGUUGAGCACAAAAAGAGCGUGUCCCAAAACCAGAGCAUCUACAUCUUUAGGACUACAUAGAUACAAAAGGAUAUAUUAGUGAUCCAUUAGGCCUAUCAUAAAUAAAUAAAUAAAUAAAAACUAAUACAAACAACACAGGUAUAUGCAGGACGAUUGUAAGUGUACCUGUUCCCAAAGAGGUACACUUCAUCCUUAGUUAAUGUUUCAGACAACAUAUCAUAAACAGCCUCUGCCCUCCAAUAAAUCUGUUUAAAUAGAAACCUGCAUUAGGUUAGGUUGGCAGUAGCACCUAAAAAGAAAAAAGAAUAAUAAUAAGCAAACCACCUCUUGUCCCAAAUCAGCAGUUGACCUAUUCAACCUCGAACAUAGAUCACGUUUUUCAUCUCUUAGCCCCUUCCAGUGAAGAAUCUUCCGAAUUGGCCAAGCGAUAUCAGAGAAGUAGAUAUCAUUUGCAAUGCUUCCAUCACUAACUACCCACAGUUCAUACUGCAGGGCAUCAGCAAGCCAGGUCGAAACCAUGACCUUUGUGCGCUCAACAGAGGCUGAUUGUGUAAUCAGUUGGCUGCAUGGAGUUUAAGUCAAGAAUGCUGGUAUCCCUAAGAUAUUGAAUCACCCCUCCGCCCUCAUUGUUCAAAGCCACACAAUCUCCAAAUUCAACAUACGGUAUUUGCUCUGCGCAAAAAACAAAACGCAGUGAACUUAUCAGCAGGGGGCGAAAAAAUCCCAACCAGAACAGUGACCUAGCACACAAAUGCAGAUCCAGCAGCGACAAGUGAUUCUGGCAACAACUAUCUAGCAACAAGGGUAGACAGAUGCAACUAUGGAAGAGCACCAAGCAAUUCUGGCAACGACCACCUAGCAACAAGGGUAGACAGAUGUAACUAUCCAGCAGCAACUAGUGUCGAUCCAGUAGAGCAUCAAAUGAUCUACCUAGCAACAAGGGUAGCAACAAGAUGCAAAUAUCCAUGUGGAUCUAGCAACGUCAUGAUAUAACAUUAAGGCACAGUAAACAGUGGAUGAGAGGAGGUGGGGACUGGGGAGAUCACCUGCGUUUGGGUUGCAGGUGUCCACUUCGAGGUCGAAGGGAACAUCAGCCAUUCUGAGGUAGAGAAGUACGGUUAGGCACAUCGGGCAAGCGGUGGGGAGUCGGAAGCCUGGCUUCCGCACAACCAAAGUCUUCCGCGGCGCCGCCUCCCACUCGCGCGCCACAGGACCAGCACCCGCGGCCCUGGCCGCCACGGCCAACUUCGCGGCCAUGGGCCCGGCAGCAUUAGACGUCCCCCACUCCUUGACCGUGGCAGCGACCAUGGACGCGGCCCCAGCCGCCAGUACUUUGAGCCCCAAAUCCGCGGCCGCGGACCAGGUGACCGCCUCCACGACCGCGGACCCGGUCACCGCCUCCAGGGCCACGGACCCGGUCACCGCCUCCCACUCCGCGGCCGUGAACCCAGCCGCCGCGGCCGCCACGGCCAUGGCACCCGCCGCCGCCACCGAUGGCAUUGGCUGGCUUCUGAGUAGGGUUUAGGUUCGGGACUUCGUCUCGGUUUGCCCUGAAUCCGAUUUCAAGAUGGAGGGUUAAAAAAUCAGGGCCCAGAUAACCACAAAGCCCAGUGUGUGUGUGGUGAUAAUCCAUCACUAGCGCGAUAGGACGCUUCGCAAUUCUCACGGUGCUUUCAUCCGUACAACCAGCUAAUCAUCUGUUAAAGACGAGCCCAAAGCUGAUAGGCUGAUUUGUUUUAGGCCCUGUUCGUUUUGCCUCCAAAACGAAGGUUAUUGGGAAGCAUUGAGGCCCUGUUAGUUUGAUCCAGGGCCAAGGGGAUUGAGAGAAAUCGAGGGGAAAUUUACGAGUCAAAAUCUUCGUCAACACUCUCCAAUCCCUUUGAUUUUGAUUUUAAAAGGGAGAUCCAAAACCAAAUGAGUUGGAGGGGAUUGAAAGGGCCUAUAUUGUAAGUCAAAAUCCUCGUCUAACCCAUUCAAUCCCUCCAAUCUCAAGAUCAAGCGAAGUCCCCUCCAAUCCUCAUGAUUUAAGGAUGGAAAUAAACAAACAAAUAAAGAAACUAAAAAAACAUUGUUGUUCAAAAAAAAAAGUAAGCACAAGUAGGCAGAUGGAUAUUAUCAUACCAACGAUAAAUCUCCCUGAGGCCUUCUUGUUGGGUUUUGAUCCACCAUAGAGGACCCUGAUGGAUGGAUCGGAAGCCGGAAGGCCGCCCUGCUGCUGGCUGUACAGCCCGACCGACGGGCCGUGCAACCCAUCUUCCUGGCAAAGGUCAACCGGAGAGGCCAGACAACCGGCCGGGCCGAUCCCCGAUGAUGACCAUGGCACUUGAGAAGACUCGGCAAGAGCCUCUUCUUCCUCCUCAUCGUCUUCUUGUUUUGAUGGGUAUAUGGAUGCAAAGAAGAGGACGACUGCUGGAGAUGAAAGAGGUGGGGGGGGGGGGGGGGGGGUGGGGAGGGGAUUGUUUGGGGGCAAGGGUGGAACAGCUUAGGGAGGGGAUAUAAGUAGAGGAUGAGGAGCGUCCGGGACCGGCCUUUCCCAUAAAACCAGGGCCGUCGGUAGAGUAUAAUUAAUAAUAACAACAACUGAUAGAUCACGCGACACGACACGCGUGCAUAUCGAUUCGUUUCCGCCAGCGCGGCGCACGGUCCACAUCAAGGCCCCCCACCUUUGAAAAAGAGGGCCCGAUGGAGACGGCGACGGCUGCGGUAACCCAAGCGGCCACGUCUCGUCUGGUCUCCUCUCCUCUCCUCUCCUCUCGUCCGGCCCGUCCCACUCCGACGCGGACCCAUCCAAAUUUAAAGAUGGUCCAGGCCUGCUCGGCUAGCGUUCAGCCCAUCCAAAUCCAAAUUAAAGAUGGUCCACGCAGGCACGCACGCACCCCACCACGGACGGAUCCGACGAGUUGCAUUUUAUGGCGUUUUCCCUUUGGAUUUGGACGCACCACCGCACCAAUGCACGGCUUUCCUUCCCUCCACAGUCCACACCAACAACGACCACCGCAUUUUCCCGCCCCAGGACCCGUAGUCGUCGCACGUGUCAAAAGGUAUGGCCGGGCGCCGGCCAUUCCCUCGGUUCCUCCGCCCCUGCUCCCGCUACGCCAACGACUUCGGCCUUGUUUAGAUAAAAAAUUUUACAAGAGCACGAAUAUUAAAUAUAGAUAAAAAAACUAACUAUAUAGUUUAUCUGUAAAUCAUGAGACAAAUUUUUUAAGCCUAGUUACUCUAUGAUUGGACAAUGUUCUAAAAAGUUUUUAAAUCUAAACAAGGCCUUAGUUUACCAAGAAAAUCAAAAAAGUUUUCAACACAUUGAAUCUUGUGAUACAUAUAUGAAGCAUUAAAUAUAGACAAAAAUAAAAAACUAAUUAUACAGUUUAACUGUAAAUCGCGAGACAAAUCUUUUAACUCUAAUUAGUCUAUAAUUGAACAAUAUUUAUCACAAACAAGCAAAAGUGCUACAAUAACAUCCAAAAAAUUUUCACAUUUACAAAACACGGACAUGUGCUGGUCAACAGGAGUUUACUGUUCAGUUUACAAAACAAUUGAAUUUUAAAAAUAGUGUAGAAGAGUUUUAUUUCUAUAAAACUAUCUCUAUUUUUAUAAAACCAUCAUCUCUACUUCUUCAUCAAUAUAAUGUCAUAUUAACAUAUUUAAUGUGCAUAAAAUUUUCAUGAAACCUCCAUCUUAUUUACCAAAUUUAUUAGUCAUUAAAUAAUAUUUUCUCUCAACUGAAAUUGUUAAGUCAGACAUUAGACCAAUCUUAGUGGCCCGUUUAAUGCACUGUUUCCAAAAUAAAUCCGCUGACAGGGCAACAAUGAAACGAAUAAUAAAACAACCUCCACAAAGCAUGAGUUUCACCUUGACAUUUCCUAGGCUGGGCAAAGCAUUUAAUUACUGCAAAAUGAUUGGAUCACAUGUAAGAUGGUGAAACGAUUUAGCCCUCAAUGGGGACUUCAUCCCGUUUCACCGCGUGGGAAACAACGUCCGCGGAAUUUCACUAUGAUAAAACUACUUCCUUCUCUCUCCUUUUCGUUUCAUGCAAAAAGUGUAAUUUUACUUACAUGACGCUCUAAUAAAUGUGCAUGACAUACUAGUGAAACCCCCCGCUCAGACUGACUUUAUUAUCACAUAAACAUGAAAAGUAGCGAUCUUCAUCAGUUCUAUAAAUGCUAAUCAGAUGAGUACCUGGUGACAACACGACCGCCGUAGCCUCUUCGGUAGCUGAGUAUUUGCUAUAGGACAUGUUUAGAUCUAUUUUUUUUAGAUUUUGAACAUUGUAAUAUUUUUGUUUGUAUUUAUAAUUAUUGUCUAAAUAUAUAAUAAUUAGGUUUAAAAUAUUCGUCUCGUAAAUUACAGACAAAUUGUAUAAUUAACUAUUUUUUAUCUAUAUUUAAUAUUUUAUACACGGGUCUAAAGAUUCGAUGUAAUAAAAAAUCUUAUAAACUUUUAGAAUUUUAAAGAUAUCUAAAUAGGUCCAUAGUCUGCAAAAAAUGAUUCAUCUGAAAACCCUGUAAGGCUGCAAGAAUUUAUAUCCUUCACUGUUAGAUAGGAUACAGAAAAAUCCUGAAAAUAUUAAUAGCAAGUCAACAACAUACAGUACCAUCAAAAAAUAAUGGCACACAGCAUUUCUCAGUACGUAAAGAUAGAUCAAUAAUAGUUUGUUGGUUUGAGAUUAUCUACCAAAUCUGUCAGUCAUUCAGAAGUGUUCAGCAAAUAAUAUUUUUAGUCAUAACUAUUCAAGAGUGUAACAAAUAAUAUUUGCAAGCGACCAAGCUGAAAAAACUAGUAAGACCCAUGCGGCAAAUGCCGCGGGCGCUAGGCAGCUACUAUUCUAGCCAAUUAAACAAUAUUGAGAUAUGUGCAGCAGAAAAGAGAGUACAAAAUACUAGGAAAGAAAGUGCUAGUGCUGAACACGUAAGAGAGAGUGUGUAUUGCAACACGAAUCUUAAAACACUUUUGAAUGGUGGAAGAUAAGCACCACUAAACAGCCACAUGCUACGAUACAUUAUCGCAAAUAACUAGUGAUCUUGGAAGAAUGGUCAUAUUUAUUCUUUAUUAUUGUAUAAAAGGAGCAUCAGAAUAACAAACGUAGUCGAAAUAAUAAUUAAUGUUCAAAGUAUUACAAAAUAGAAAUCAUGAAAAGAUCAAAAUCGCCUAUGAACAGGUAAUCUAUAGUAGGUACAACCUAAGCCCUAUUCUUUCUAUUUGAAGUAGGCGAAGCAUCAGAAUUUACAGGACACUGUGAUAAUAUGGUCUUGUUUAUGCUUUGUUUACUUCCACCUAAAAAUUCAAAAUUUUUCAAUAUUCUCCGUCACAUCGAAUCUUUAGACGCAUGUAUGGAGUAUUAAAUGUAAAUAAAAAUAAAAACUAAUUGCACAGUUUGGUCGAAAUUGACGAGACAAAUCUUUUAAGCCUAGUUAGUCUAUCGUUAGACAAUAAUUACCACAAACAAACAAAAAUGCUACAGUGUCGCAAAAAUUUUUCCUUCACGAACUAAACAAGGCCUUAAUUCAUCCAAAAAACCAAAAAAUUUUAAGAUUUCCUGUCACAUCGAAUCUUACGGCACAUGCAUGGACCAUUAAAUAUAAUCAAAAACAAAAAACUAACUAUACAGUUUGCCUGUAAAUCGCGUAUAACACUCCAAAUUUUUGAAUUUCAAAUUCAGUUCAAAUUUGAUUUAAUUUUGGCUUAGUUUGAAUUUUUAGAGAAUUAUUAAAUAAUUUACAAAAUUAAUUAAAAUAAAAUAUAAGGUAGAAACGUGUUUGAUUUUUGCAUUCAUGCUGCUGCAUAAUUUUGAUUGAUUUGAUUUAUUUAUUUUGCUGAUGCUUGUUUUGUUUUGUUUUGGAGCAAGAAAAUUUAAAAAAAAAAGAGAAAGGGGAGAGCCCCCGCCUGGGCCGACUUCCGGCCCAGCACCCCGCGCCCCUCCCCUCUCCCCUCAUGCCCAAGUGGGCCGCGGCCCAAGCCGCACGGCAGCGGCCGGCCCCGCACUCACCCCCCGCUGCUCCCGCCCGCAGUCGCUGACGCGUGGGCCCCGCGAGUGGGACCCACCGCCUUCUUCCACCUCCGGCCGGGACGGACUCGGGGCGCAACCGACGCCCCGGUUUCCGCGCGCGGCGCCCCCAAUCCGAGCCGCACGCGCCCCAAGGAUCGUCGUGCCUUUAAAUAGCCCCCAGCCGCCGCUCGCGAACCCCCCCUAGAACCCUAGCUUCGAAAUCCGCGCCGCCGCCGUUCUCGCCAAGCUCGCGCCGCCGCCGUUGAAACCGCCGCCGUCGAGCUUCUCUUUGACUUCGUCGUUUCGCGGAGGUGAGCUCGUCAUCGCGCUCGUCGUGACGCGCCGACCCCGCCCGUGCCCUCGGCACGCUCCCCCGUGCCCUGCAGCACCGCCGCCGAAGCUCCGGGCGGCGCCAAUGGCGCCACCGCCGCCGCCGGCCGCCCCUGCGCUCCGCACCGGCGCGCGGUCCACCGUGGACCGCGGCCCUGCGCCCCCGUGCGGCCGGUCCACUGGACCGGGUCCAGGAGGCCGCCCCCCGCCGCUCCGCAGGCGCGGUCCACCAUGGACCGCGGCCUUUCCCCCCCCCCCCCGCGCCCCGGUCCACAGCACAGUGCCGUGGACCGGCCACUCCCGAGCCGCCACGUGGCCGAGCCGGCCAGCACCCACGCGCGCCCCUGCACGUUUUGCAAAAAGGCCCCUGUUUUUAUUUAAAAUUAACCCGCUAUCCUAUGCAGUUUAAAAUAAUUAUGUUUAUGCCCUUAGUUUUCGCAGUUUAACCCCUGGCUCGGUUAGAAUUUAUUUAUUUAGUCCAAAAUGAGUUUUAAUUCAGUUUUUAAUUAGUUUUAAUUACGAAAAAUAGUUCAGUUUAUCUACAGAAAUGCCAUUCAACUUGUUUUAGCCAUAACUUUUGCAUCGUGACUCCGAUUUAGGUGAUUCUGGUCGCUAUGGUUUCGUUUCGUCGAGUAGAAUACAGUAAUGCAGUUGCUUUUUGUUUCCGCAUGCUUUGGUGUACUGUUUCUGAUUAAGUUUGUUUGCUUGCAUGUAUUGUUCCUAUGAUUGAUGAUUGUCGCGUAUAGCCAACGAGACGUUCGUGAAGGAAGAGGUUCAGGAUCCCGCUGAGUUCGAGCAACCCGACUUCGAUCAAGGCAAGUGCAGACACCGUUUGAUCAUUUUGAACCUACUCAUUAAUGCCAUUUACUUUAUAUGCAUGUGUCCAAUGAAUGCAAACCCUAAGGACAUGACUAGCUUUGCUUAUUAUUCCUUGCUCACCUGGGGUUAUGUAUUUGGGUAGACUAGGCUAUACUAGGUCUGCUUAGCUGCUCUACUCAUCUUAUACACAUGUCUAAACAAGAAUUACUCUCUCUCUACUUAACUUGAUGCUUAAACUGUGCUGAAUCUUUGGUCACUGCGGUGAUGGCGAUGUUGGAUGCUUGCGAGCAUCGUGAUGAUGGUGGUGACAGGGGGAGCGGGUACCGUUGGUGGUCCGGUUUGCCGGGCGUACCCGUCUCUGCUCUCCGUAAGGACUUAGUCAGGGAGCGGCCCCCCUGGGACUUACAGUGCAGCUCCAAGCUAUAUGGCUCUGGCUUGACUAAUUAGCAGGACCUCCACUAGUAGGGUGUUACUUUCCGGGUAGGCGUGAGGAAGUAACUUGGGUAAUGAAUAUUAAGUUGUCGGUUGAUCGGUACGCCAUGGCUAUGGGUAUCGACUGCCGAGCGCCCCGACAAAAACUUGCGAGUGGCAUCCUAUUAGUUGGACCCUGUGAAAGGUCUCGUAGUGAGACCCUGCCUGCUCACCUUGGAAGUGUUUUGGGGAGUCGCGACCCCGGGCAAAUGGGAAUCACGACUUGGAGUGAACGUGCACACCUCUGCAGAGUGUAAAACUGAUAUAUCAGCCGUGCUCACGGUCACGAGCGGCCCAGACCCUCACUUGAUGAGCAAAUUGGAUUCACUGGUUACUUGGAGAUGGACCUUGGCGAGGUUGCUACCUCGUGUUUUGGCGGAAUGGCUAUUCCGUGAUGGCAGGAUUGCUAUCCUGUGGUAAUAAUUGGGGUUAAUCCCUGGAUUACUAUAAUAGUUAGGAUAGUCAUUUAAAAGAUGCUAAUUACUACUUACACUAAUUAAGGGUUGGGUUUAUACUACUCAUAUUUAGUAAUAGGUUGUUCUAGUAAUUGUUAUAAUUAAAAGCGAUCAACUAAAAUGCUACCGCAGUCAAACCAAGUCAACUUUACCUUGUUUUAAGCCUUGCAUGUCAUUACUUUCCGUCUGUGCUUGCUGAGUUCGACAUGAGCUCACCCUUGCUAUAAUCAUUAAAGGUUGCUCGGACGAUCAGGAGUACAAUUGCGAUUUCCCUGAGGACUACCCUGAGUCUCCUGGUUGUUAGGCUCGUGUGGUUCUGCCGUCGACCUUCCUGUGGCAAGGUGGUCCUGCUACGUCGGCGUUUAGUUUUCCCUUUAUUUAUGGAACAGUUUAGUUUAUGUUUCCCCUCCGCACUUUGAUAAACAUUUGGCUUGUAAUAAUGGUACUUUUACUCUCAUUUAUGUAAUUCGUUUGAACACUGUGUUUUGUACCAUUGAUGAUGUCGGUCCAUGUGUGUGAAUUUGAGAUCCUGGCGCACAUGUGAUUUGGCACCCGAAUGCUCUUUUACAUCCGGGUGUGACAGAAGUGGUAUCAAAGCCGUGUUGACCGUAGGAUCACGCAGCCUAGUUAGAAACAGCCGUUUAGACUGUCCCUUUUGGGUGGAAUACACAAUUGGAUCUAUUAACUACCUUACUAACCUGUCUCAUUAGACUUUAUCUAUUAGCCUUGUCUACUUACUUUUACUAACAGUUCAGUUUAUUCACUUAUUUCUUGCAUUUAUUACCUUGUUAUCAUUUAUUGCUUUCUAUUUCUCAUAUUGCAUUUAUAUUCUUGUUUCAACUUUUACUACUUGUUAUUUGAACCUUUCUUUUAUACCUUGUCAUUUAUUAUCAUUCUACUCAUAUUACCUUCUUGUUCCUUGUUUUUCAUUUAUUACUUGAGUUAUGUUUUAUUUCUGCCUUGACAAUAAAUUUCAUUACCUUGUUUUCACUUUAUACCUUCAUUACUUGCUUUUAUAUCUUACCAUAAAUACCACCAAAGUUCAUAUUGUCCAUCCAUUGUAUAAUCUGGGUUCAUCUUCAUUACACAUACACUUUUACCUUCAUUUAUGUUAUUCCUUUUACCUAUCAUUGUCAUGAUCUAUUAACCGUUUCCUGCAUGUCUAUGAUCUUAUGCAUAAGUAGAUGACUCGCCACCUGACCUGCCGCAAGAGCGUUAUCCGUUUCCGCCCCGUUCAAGCUGUGGAGUUCUCGUUGACUGGUCGCGUGGAUAACAUCGUGUUCCAGCCUAACCAGCAUCUUGAUGACGGUGCUAACCUCCAAGACGCGGAACCCUAUGAAGGACAGCAACCACCUCAAGCUCUGGUGGUGCAUGGAAGGGCGCCUUGCUGGGCACCUGGAGGAGAUGAUCCCUUCGGUGAUGAUGACAUGGAUGAUGAUGAUGAGGAUGAUGAUGAUGAUGAGGAUGCACCCGGAGGACCCGGAGGACCCGGUGGACCUGGAGGUCAAGAUGGACUUUUUGCUGCUGAUGAUGGGUGGAUUGUGACAGUCUGCACCAGGGAUGGUGGAGAGUGUUUCUUCCACAGCGAGCUGAAGCGUCUCCUUGACCAGCAGCUGGGACAUGGCAUGUUCUCAGUGGAGUACCGCAGUGAGCACUGGAGUCACCCAGACUACCCGGCGUACUGGAAGGUCUGGGCACACGUCGGCAGGCCUAACCCGACGUUGAGGGCACUGAGGAUCAUGUCCAUACAUGAGGCUGUGGCUGAGAGGUCUACCCAGAUGGCAGGCAUUAAUGAUGCUGCUCGCCAGGCUUUCUACGCAUACCGUGAUCACUUCUUCGAGGAGAUCAGCCAGGAUGAGCGUCGCUACUACCCUCGCCGUCGCCGUGGAGAGUUGGCGAUGACUAUUGCUUCCACCACUGAUGAGCAAGACCCCCGCAUGCACAGGACUGUCAAGCUGGUGGCGGUCACUAACACCGAGCUCAACAGUUCACUAGUGGAGUUGAAGCAAGUCAGGAAGGAGUUGGACGACGCCAGGAAGAGGAUAGCACAACUGGAGGCUCAGAUCACUGGAGUGCCACCGCCUUCACCUAAGUGGCCUGCUUUCUCUCCGCCUCGUGAAGAUCCAGCCUAUGGGGAUGCCAGCGCUCGUACUACUAUAGAAUAGGAGCUAUUCCCAACUUAGUAAUAAAUAGUGCCACGCUUAGAACGUUAGCACGAUCUUAGCUAUGCGAGUUUAGUGCUUAGUCGUUUGCUUAGUGUGCUUUGCUUGGUCUGUGUGAGAACUUGAUUUAUUAUUGUGUUAAUGGUGUGAUUUGGUUCUUUGUAAUGAGUGCGAUGAGUGGUGGGUUAUGUCCACAACGCAUCAAGAAUAAGAUUAAGUAUUAAGUUUAUUUGAGAUAGUUUGGGUUAUCAUCGGUCUCCUUUAUUUGUGCCUUAUCAUAUUUCAUAUCGCUUUAUCUUAUCAGUCUUACACUAUCAUGAUCAGUUCAUUAUCUAUAUAUUACAUCUGUUGUGAGUACUGUGUUUAUCAACUGAGACAGGAAAGUAACUAUCAGCUGGGUCAUACUUUGGGGAAAGAUUAUUACAUUGCAGUUUACAUUACAGCUCAGGUUUACACAUAUGAACUACAUCUGAUUUUAUUAUUUCUAUAUAUCAGAUGCCUGUCCACACCAGGAGCAACACCAAUGGAGGAAACAAUGGACAGUCCAACAACAACAACAAUGAUCAGAGCGGGACUAAUGCCAACCCUCCUCCUCCGGGGAAUCAGCCCAUGACCAUAGAACAGUUGAUGACUAUGCAGACUCAACUGAUGCAAGGGAUGGCUCAUAUUAUGAACCACAUGCAGCAGAACCAAAACCAGAAUCAGAACCAACACCAAGGAGGUAACAACGCGUUUGCCCCACCUAGGGACAAGCGUGGAGAGUUCAUGAAGGGACGUCCACCGUUCUUCUCUCACUCAGCUGAUCCUAUGCAAGCUGAGGAUUGGCUUAAAGCUGUGGAGAAGCAGCUGGUUAUUGCUCAGUGCAAUGACAGGGAGAAAGUUCUGUAUGGCUCUGGGCAGCUUCAGGGAGCCGCACAGGACUGGUGGGAUUCAUAUUGCUUUGCACAUCAGGACCCGGAUACUAUCACUUGGGAUGAGUUCAAGGUCGCCUUCAAGACUCAUCAUGUGCCUGCUGGAUUGGUGAAGUUGAAGAAGAAGGAGUUUCUGUCUCUGAAGCAGGGCUCCAUGACAGUUUGUGAGUACCGUGACAAGUUCACUCAGUUGUCGCGGUAUUGCCCCAAUGAAGUGGAGAAUGAUGAAGACAAGUAAGAUCACUUUCUGGAAGGUUUGAAUGAUGGUCUGUCCUACAUGAUGUCGAAUGUCAAGUACGCCAGUUUCCAGGAGAUGGUGGACAGGGCAUUGGUGCUUGAGAGCAAGCGCCGUAAGAUGGAGGACAAGAAGAGGAAGUAUAACUCCUCUCAGCAGCAGGCUGGUGCCAGUUGUCCCCGCUACAACAACCAGCAGGGCCCUCAGUCUCGCCCUGCAUAUCAGUCAGGCAACCAAGGACAGCAACAGAAUGUCAGGUACAGCAACCAGAGUCAGCAGACGAGCCAGCGCUACAACAACAACCAAGUGCAGCGCCCCGCUAGUCAGGCGCCUCGCCAGAAUGCCCCAGCACCAUCAGGCUCUCGCCAGAACUCCAACACUGUCCCAAUGAAGCCCAAUGUCAAUCCCGCCCCCACUGGAAAUACCUGCUUCAAGUGUGGUCAGCUUGGACACUACGCGAAUGCGUGCCCCCAGAGGCAGAGGAAUAACAACAACAAUGGAAGGGUGAAUCAUGUGAAGUUGGAAACUGCGGAGGAGGCUCCAGAUGUGGUAGUUGGUAUGUUUCUUGUCAACUCUUGCCCAGCUACUGUUUUGUUUGAUACUGGAGCAUCACAUACUUUUAUAAGUGCACAGUUUGUUGAGAAACAUAGUAUAGCCACCUGUACCAUGCAAAACACCAUGAUAGUUAAAUCACCUGGGGGAAAGAUGCAUACUAAUACUUUGUGUCCAGAAAUGAGCAUUAAAAUAAGGGGGGUAGAUUUUCCUGUCAAUCCCAUUGUGUUGGGUUCAGAAGGUUUAGAUAUGAUAUUGGGAAUGAGAUGGUUGUCCAAGUUUAAGGGUACUAUUCAGUGUGCUGAGAAGACAGUGGCUCUAACCGCACCUAGUGGGAACAGAAUUGAGGUCAGAGUUUCUAUGUCACCUAGUAGUGAAGGAACAAUUUACCAUCUGAGCAGUGGGUCAGUAGAAGAUAUUCGAGUUGUGAAAGAGUUCCCUGAUGUGUUCCCAGAAGAUUUGCCAGGUAUGCCACCUGAACGUGAGAUUGAAUUUGUUAUUGAUUUAUUACCUGGUACUGCACCCAUAUCUAAGAGACCUUAUAGAAUGGCUGUUAAUGAGUUAGAAGAACUUAAGAAACAACUAAGGGAGUUACAGUCUAAGGGGUAUAUCCGUCCUAGUUCCUCACCUUGGGGAGCUCCAGUUAUCUUUGUAGAGAAGAAGGAUGGGACACAGAGGAUGUGUGUAGACUAUAGAUCUUUGAAUGAGGUCACCAUUAAGAAUAAAUACCCUUUGCCUAGAAUAGAGGACUUGUUUGACCAGUUGAAAGGAGCUUGUGUGUUUUCCAAAAUAGAUCUGAGGUCAGGUUAUCACCAGUUGAGGAUUAAACCUAGUGAUAUUCCAAAGACUGCUUUCACCACCAGAUAUGGACUUUAUGAGUAUACAGUUAUGUCUUUUGGAUUGACGAAUGCUCCAGCUUACUUUAUGUAUCUGAUGAAUAAAGUUUUUAUGGAGUAUUUGGAUAAGUUUGUGGUAGUCUUUAUUGAUGAUAUCUUGAUCUACUCCAAGACUGAGGAAGAACAUGAGGAACACCUGAGACUUGUGUUGCAGAAAUUGAGGGAACAUCAGCUCUAUGCCAAGCUGAGUAAGUGUGACUUCUGGUUGAAGGAAGUGUCUUUUCUUGGUCAUGUCAUUUCAAAUGGUGGAGUUGCUGUUAGUCCGAAGAAUGUGGCAGAUGUUCUUAAGUGGAGUCCACCUCAGACUGUUGGGGAGAUCAGAAGUUUUCUUGGAAUGGCCGGUUACUAUCGGAGAUUCAUUGAGGGAUUUUCCAGUAUUGCCAAGCCCAUGACUGCUUUGUUAGAGAAGGGUAAGCCAUUCAAGUGGAAUGAACAGUGUCAGGCUAGUUUUGAGGAAUUGAAGAAGAGGUUGACUACUGCACCAAUUUUGACUUUGCCAGAUGUGACUAAAAGCUUUUCCAUCUAUUGUGAUGCUUCCAAGCAAGGUUUGGGAUGUGUACUGAUGCAAGAGGGAAAGGUGAUUGCCUAUGCAUCUAGACAGUUGAAGAAACACGAGGUGAAUUAUCCAACUCAUGAUCUUGAGUUAGCAGCUGUGGUCCAUUCACUGAAGAUCUGGAGACACUAUAUUCUGGGUCAUAAGUGUGAUAUCUACACGGAUCACAAGAGUCUGAAAUACAUCUUCACUCAGAAUGACUUAAACCUGAGACAGAGAAGAUGGUUAGAGUUGAUCAAGGACUAUGAACUGGAGAUUCAUUACCACCCUGGCAAAGCUAAUGUAGUUGCUGACGCUCUGAGUAGAAAGAGUCAAGUGAAUAUGAUGGAAGCCACGGAGUUACCGAUGGAACUACUGGCAGAAUUUGAGUAUCUCAAUUUGGGGUUUGUUGCUAAUACCCAAGGUACUUCCAUGGACAUAGAACCAACUCUUGAGCAAGAGAUCAGAAAAGGUCAGAAAGAGGAUGAAGAGAUCAAAAAGAUACUUAAGCUGAUAGAGGAAGGUAGAGCACCUGGAUUCAAAGUUGAUCAAGAAGGGAUUGUUUGGCACAAGGACCGAUUGUGUGUCCCUGAUAUUCAGAGAAUUAAGGAUGUGAUACUGAAGGAGUGCCAUGAAUCUGCUUACUCUAUUCAUCCAGGAGGUACUAAGAUGUAUCAGGACUUGAAGCAAAACUAUUGGUGGCCUGGUAUGAAGAAAGAUAUUGGUGAAUAUGUGGCAUUGUGUGACACCUGUCAGAGAGUGAAAGCGGAACAUCAGAGGCCAGCAGGGUUGUUGCAACCGUUGAAGAUACCUGAGUGGAAGUGGGAUGAGAUCAGCAUGGACUUCAUAGUGGGAUUGCCGAAAACUCAACGAGGUUAUGACUCAAUAUGGGUUGUAGUAGAUCGAUUGACCAAGGUAGCUCAUUUCAUACCGGUCAGAACUAACUACCGUGGGGAUCAGUUAGCAGAAAAGUAUAUGGAACGGAUUGUGUGUCUGCAUGGAGUUCCUAAGAGGAUUGUGUCUGAUAGAGGUACACAGUUUACAUCAAAGUUUUGGGAGAAGCUACAUGAUGCUUUGGGAACCGAGCUCAGAUUCAGUACUGCUUAUCACCCUCAGUCCGAUGGUCAGACAGAGAGAGUCAACCAGAUAGUAGAGGAUAUGCUCAGGUCUUGUGCUUUACAGUAUGGGGAUAGUUGGGAUGCUAGUUUGCCCUACGCUGAGUUCUCCUAUAACAACAGUUAUCAGACUAGUCUUAAGAUGACUCCUUUUGAAGCCUUGUAUGGAAGGAAGUGUAGGACUCCAUUGUUCUGGUACCAGACUGGUGAAAGGCAAGUGUUCGGCCCUGAUUCAUUGAGAAUAGCCGAAGAAAGAGUUCAAUUCAUCCGACAGACUCUGAAGGCAGCUCAGUCUAGACAGAAGAGUUAUGCUGAUGUGAGACGAAGGGAACUUGUAUUUCAGGCAGGUGAUUAUGUAUACCUGAAAGUGUCUCCGAUGAGAGGUCUAAAGAGGUUCAAUGUUAAGGGAAAGCUAGCUCCAAGAUACGUUGGUCCUUUCAAGAUCUUGGAAAGAAAAGGAGAAGUGGCUUAUGAGCUUGAAUUGCCUGCCAGCUUAUCCAAUGUGCACAAUGUCUUCCAUGUCUCCCAAUUCAAGAAAUGUUUGAGAGUGCCUGAGGAACAGUUGCCACUAGAGGAACUGGAUUUACAGGAGGAUCUAACUUAUGAAGAGAGUCCUAUCAAAGUUCUGGACACAGCGGAGAGAAUUACCAGGAGUAAAACUAUCAGGAUGUGUAAAGUACAAUGGAAACACCAUUCCGAGAAAGAAGCAACCUGGGAAAGAGAAGAUGAUCUAAUAUCCAAAUACCCUCAGUUAUUCCCUGGUUCAUCCUAAUCUCGAGGACGAGAUUCUUUUAAGGGGGGUAGGUUUAUAACACUCCAAAUUUUUGAAUUUCAAAUUCAGUUCAAAUUUGAUUUAAUUUUGGCUUAGUUUGAAUUUUUAGAGAAUUAUUAAAUAAUUUACAAAAUUAAUUAAAAUAAAAUAUAAGGUAGAAACGUGUUUGAUUUUUGCAUUCAUGCUGCUGCAUAAUUUUGAUUGAUUUGAUUUAUUUAUUUUGCUGAUGCUUGUUUUGUUUUGUUUUGGAGCAAGAAAAUUUAAAAAAAAAAAGAGAAAGGGGAGAGCCCCCGCCUGGGCCGACUUCCGGCCCAGCACCCCGCGCCCCUCCCCUCUCCCCUCAUGCCCAAGUGGGCCGCGGCCCAAGCCGCACGGCAGCGGCCGGCCCCGCACUCACCCCCCGCUGCUCCCGCCCGCAGUCGCUGACGCGUGGGCCCCGCGAGUGGGACCCACCGCCUUCUUCCACCUCCGGCCGGGACGGACUCGGGGCGCAACCGACGCCCCGGUUUCCGCGCGCGGCGCCCCCAAUCCGAGCCGCACGCGCCCCAAGGAUCGCCGUGCCUUUAAAUAGCCCCCAGCCGCCUGUGGCAGAACCACCCUAAUUAUAUGGCCCACAUGCACUUGACAUUGUCCUUAAGACCUCUGACUACUGCACAUGAGAGUCAUAUAACUUGGAUAGUCUGUCGGGUGCCCUCGGAGGACCCCGAAUCAUCCACAUUUUAACUCGUACAGGAUCAACAUGGAGUUACCACAACAUUACAACAUUUGUUACAAAAAUAACUUACAUCAGAGUGCGGAAGAUUUAUAACUUAAUUUACAACAUAUGAUGAAGUAUAAACUUAACUAAAUUUCCAAAAGGUGUAUAGAGUAGCGGAAGCAUCUUAGGUGAAGCUUCUAAGGUAGAAGAGGUGGAUAAAUCAUGUCGCGCCCACCGACACGACCACCAUUAGCAGACUAAGUCAGCACCUGCAACAGGGGUUAUAAAACCCUGAGUACAAAAGUACUCAACAAGACUUAACCGACUAGAAAAGAGGUGAAGACUCAGGUAUGCAGGCUAUAGGGAUUCAAGGUAAAGCUUUAUCAAGAUAAAGCAUUUCUUUUGCAUAAAAGCUUACUAAGAUUAAACCUACUUUCAAGUUUUAACUCAAGGUUAUCAUUUAUGACUAACCAAAACUAUUAUCAAACUUGCAUAAUCAUACCACAUCUUUCUUAUACCAAAGAUUCACUUGUUACUACGAUGAUGGUGUGAGGAUUGAGGCUCCAUAUCCGAGGAAACACGGCGAUUCGAAUCGAUUAAACCCAGCUGGGGAUUCAGUACCACACGACAUAUGUAGAACUUAAUCUUGCAUAUGUCAACCUGUUUCUAUAGAUCCUCCCAUACAAGAACGGGUCCAGCGUCACCCGAGAGUACAGUACACCACCAUCCUACAGCCAAUCUAGAUGUUUCCCGGUCAUCUCAGAUCCGUAAGGUGGGUACACGCUACUCUCGCCAUCUUUCCACUCCCAGUACGCGGUUAGCCGUUCUCAAGUAUCGGAAUAGCUAUAGGUAAGGCUUACCGCCGCAUGUGGGCUGUACUCAAAGGUCUCAAUCACAACAGGCCAAUCAACGGUACGGUCCUUAAUCGACUCAGUUGGAGACACUACUUUAAGACUCCAUUCUUAAAGCAAGUCCACCGACCGGUCUCAAGUUUAAACAUUAUUAACCAUAACAGUAUACCACAACGACCCUUCAAACUCUUUCAUUUGAAAACUUAUCUAAUAAGCAGGACUAAGCAUACUAAACAUUUUCAUAAAGCAAGUAUCAAGGUAAAUAUUGAAAUCAUCAAGGUAGAUAAUGCAGCAAAUAGGAUUCACUCAACUCCUAUUCACCUAAUGCAUCAUAUUAACUCAAGUGAUAUAGAUAACUUUAUGAAAAUACAAGGAUAGGGUUUAAUGUCCGGGGCUUGCCUUGGUCGGAGGGGACGUUCGGCAACUCAACAACACUCGAAGGAUCCACAAACUCGGAAGAAACCCACUGGGGAUCAGAUUCUUCCGGAGCGUACUCUAUACGUAAAAGUGCAUAUGCAUGAUUAUGAUAUACUCAUGGCAUGAUAAAGACAGGUUACAUGUUCUUGGAUGACAACCAUAAGCAUGACUAUCUCAAGUACAAUUUACCUUCAUGAUAGAGAAACAAACUAAUCUAGCUAUCAAAGCAUGGAUUAUUACUAAGCAAAUUUUAUCAUCUUCAUUAAGCAAUGUUGUGUAGUUAUUAAGCAACAAAGAUCAUUUACAUGAAAGAAUCCUUAACCAGGGAGAAUGUUAUGCUAAGUGACCACUGGUUGUCAAACAAUCUAAAAUAUCACCCAAAUCCUAAAGGGAUUAAUUAUUUCUAUUUCUUUUAUAAGCAUUUAAAUAGCUUUAUUAAGAAACAGAGCAUACUUAAUCAAAAAUAACUGAAAAUAUUUCUGAAGCUAGGUAAUAUUAACACAAGUUCACAUAUUAAAUUUCAUGCCAUUUGAAUAAGUAUAGCAGUUUCCAUGAAAAAGAUAAAUUUCCAUCACAAGAAAGCAUGUAACAACAAGAUAAAUAAGAAACUCGACAUUUUCUACAAACACAUAGCUAAAUUAUGUAUCUAUAUGAUAUAACAAUUUCAUAUAAAGGUAGAGGAACCAUAUUUUACAUUUAUUCCUUUUUAGUUUAAUUGUAAAUUAUUUAAUAAGCACUACACAAGAUAAAUCAAUAACUUAAUCAUAUGUCAUCUACUGAACAUGAAAUUUUUACUGCAACAUUCAAAUAACAUCAUGAGAACACCAUAAAAAUUUCAGGGCAAUAGGAUCUACACAGAAUAAGAUAUGAAUUUCUCCCUUUUAAACAUAAUUAAAAGGCAUAAAUCAUAACCAAUUAUUUUACUACAAAACAUGAUCAGUUUCAUAUUUUUAAUAAAAACUAGACAUCUCAAGGAGCACAACAAAAUUUGGUUCACCAAAAUUGGAGUUGCCAAACUCCAGAUAUGAAUUUUCAAAGAUCUAACAAAACAUCUACAAACAGGUCCUGAUGGCACUAUUCACCCGAGUCACGAACUUCGCAGUUAGACCCUUGCCUUGUGUCGAAUUCCAACGCGAAGUCCCUGGCGCGAAAUGGAAACAGAGGAGGCGCGCGGGAAAGCCGGAUUUCCGACCGGCGACCGUCUGUUGGCGACAAGGGAGAGGUACUGGAGCAUGGUUGGGCCUAUGUGCACCCUCUGGUGACCACGGCUUGCUGCGAGAAGGCCUGAGGUGGCAUGGCCACGGUGAGGUGCUCCUCGGCGGCGCUUUUGGCCGGAAUGGAGGAAGAACGGACGUAGCCGGGGCUAGAGAUGGUUAGAGCUUGCAUCAAGGGGGCGCGAAUGGUUGCUGAGACCUUGGUAAAGCUGCUGGGGUGCUCUGGUGGCUUAGAAAGGAAGUGGGAGAGGUGAAUUUUUGCGGGCGCAGGGAGCUCACCGGCGUUGAGCGAAAGGAAGAAGAGAGGGUUGCAGUGAGGUGCGAGCCAUGGGAAGAAGUGGAUGAGGACGCCAGGAGCUCGGCCACUUCACCGCGACCGUAAGCAGGCGAGCAGCUGCGUGGCUGGGUGCGUGGCGGCGUCCUGAGCAGCAGUGUCUGCCGCGGCGGCAGUGCAGCCCGUGAUCCUCAUCGGUUACUGUAGCAGGCUUUAUCCAACCAGUUUUGUGGUUUUGCAAAAUUCGUCCAAAUUUUGAACUGAAGACAAAAUUCCACCAAAACAAAAGUUAUUCAGAAUUUUACAAACUACAAAUCUUCUUUUGGUGACCAAAGCCAAUUCUGGGUGGAAAAUGACGAAUUUGACAAAACAGUUUGAAUUUCAAAUCCCAAAUUGGGGAAAUUCCAAAUUUUGAAUUGGAGCAGAUUAGAAUUUCCAAAAUUACUUUUGAUUUUCCAAAACAACUUGAAAAACUCCCAACAUGAAAGUUGUUCAACUUUUCAAGCCCUACAACUCUCAUGUUGACCAUUUUUCAAAAUUCCAAACAGAUUUUGAAUUGGAGAUUUAAGUUUGAAAAGGGGACACUUUCCGGAAAUCUGUAUUUUCAAAAUUACUUUGAAUUUUGUACUGAAACUUCAAAAACUCAAAACACCAAAGUUGUACAUCUUGACAAGAUCUACAACUUUGCUUUUGAACUCAACUUCAAAUUUUGCUUAGUUUUUAAAUUACACAAAAGGGGACAAAUCUAGGGUUUCCCCCCUAAGCCUUUCGGAAAAACUUUCACCCAAGGUUUUUAAAUUCCAAAACAAACAUCCAUACAUAAAAUAAACACACUUUACUUCCUAAACACAUUCAACCAAAAUAACCUUAUUUUAAGUUGAUGCAUAAUAAUGUGCUCAACAAUUAUGCUUUGCAAUGCUUAUGAUGACAUGAUCCAGUUUUAGUAUUCGUAACAUCAGGGAUGUUACAGCCCUUCCCCCUUAAAGAAAUCUCGUCCCGAGAUUUCCAGGGUACUAAAACCCGUGGGGUUAAGUAAUGGAAAAGGAAAUGUGUCAAGCACAUUAACUUCUGAGAAGUUCAUAAAACAAUUACAAUUGGUCCGAGAAUUACAACUAAGAUCAACAGAAUGUUGUAAUCAAUAAGGAAUGUUAGAGAAUUCAUAAGAAGAUAUGAAUCUCCAAAUGAGCUUCCAAGGAGAAUGAAAGCACACUAACUGUAGACUAUAGCGGAGCAUGACCAGAGAUCCCGAUGUUUAACGAGCACCUAGUAGUAUUUCCUUAUGGCUGCAGUCCACAGGAGACUACAAGGUUCGACGCUAUAACGUGAUCACGGAUCAUGGUACCUACUAUAGAGUACGGUUAUAAUAGCUUUCAAUGACCUAUGUUGGUUAUCUAAGUCAGGGGUUUUAGGUAAUUCCAAAGAGAUAUGGGCAUGGAUUCCCAUAAUAUUGUUCAAAGAGUGAGGUCACCUAAGUUGUGGGUCUAUAAGGGAUCAUGAUCAUAGACUUUGAUAACAGCGAGCGCCCGGCAGUAUUUCCUUAUGGUCGCGAGCCAUAGGAGACCCCAGGUUUCGGCGUUGUUACCUAAGUUAUGGGUCAUGGUACCUUAAGAGGACACAAUCAUAGUGACAUUCAAUCAACAGAAAUGUUGACAAAUGACAUCAAGGAGGUAGCAUGUGUCCGAAUUAGAUGAAAUCAAGGAAGGUCACAUGCAUAACAAAUGAAUCAAGGAUUAGGAUCUUAUGGAGUAAAAGAUUAUCAAUCAGUUAACGAAACCUGGUACAUGAUGAGAUUCAUCAAUAAAACAGCUAUACCGAAUAAUAACUGUUUUGAAGCAUAAGGAGGGGCUUUUAUGUAUCAUUAUAUUUGUCAUGUUAUGCUUGAUAUGCAAUAUGCUCGCCUAUACGUCUUUACAACGUUAGCUAGGAGAUAAUUGCUUAUAUAGGGCAUACUUUAUACACUAUCUUUAUUGCUUCAAAAGGGAGGCUGCAAGACUGUUGACAAAGCAUUGUUGGAGUAGUUUGAUUCUUCACUUGGCUUGUCGAAGACUUGAAGCCUCUUUUAAUGUCUUCUAUUUGAGUCAGCAGAAAGUCUUCGUAGAACCCGAACAGCAAGCAUAAGAAAAGUUAAGGAAUAUUUAUAAGUUGUUAUCCUCAAAAACUUUUAAUUUGUAAAUUUCUUUUGAACUUUUCACAAUUAAUGUUGUAGAAGAUCCAUGUAUGAGCUCUGAUACCAGCUGUGGCAGAACCACCCUAAUUAUAUGGCCCACAUGCACUUGACAUUGUCCUUAAGACCUCUGACUACUGCACAUGAGAGUCAUAUAACUUGGAUAGUCUGUCGGGUGCCCUCGGAGGACCCCGAAUCAUACACAUUUUAACUCGUACAGGAUCAACAUGGAGUUACCACAACAUUACAACAUUUGUUACAAAAAUAACUUACAUCAGAGUGCGGAAGAUUUAUAACUUAAUUUACAACAUAUGAUGAAGUAUAAACUUAACUAAAUUUCCAAAAGGUGUAUAGAGUAGCGGAAGCAUCUUAGGUGAAGCUUCUAAGGUAGAAGAGGUGGAUAAAUCAUGUCGCGCCCACCGACACGACCACCAUUAGCAGACUAAGUCAGCACCUGCAACAGGGGUUAUAAAACCCUGAGUACAAAAGUACUCAACAAGACUUAACCGACUAGAAAAGAGGUGAAGACUCAGGUAUGCAGGCUAUAGGGAUUCAAGGUAAAGCUUUAUCAAGAUAAAGCAUUUCUUUUGCAUAAAAGCUUACUAAGAUUAAACCUACUUUCAAGUUUUAACUCAAGGUUAUCAUUUAUGACUAACCAAAACUAUUAUCAAACUUGCAUAAUCAUACCACAUCUUUCUUAUACCAAAGAUUCACUUGUUACUACGAUGAUGGUGUGAGGAUUGAGGCUCCAUAUCCGAGGAAACACGGCGAUUCGAAUCGAUUAAACCCAGCUGGGGAUUCAGUACCACACGACAUAUGUAGAACUUAAUCUUGCAUAUGUCAACCUGUUUCUAUAGAUCCUCCCAUACAAGAACGGGUCCAGCGUCACCCGAGAGUACAGUACACCACCAUCCUACAGCCAAUCUAGAUGUUUCCCGGUCAUCUCAGAUCCGUAAGGUGGGUACACGCUACUCUCGCCAUCUUUCCACUCCCAGUACGCGGUUAGCCGUUCUCAAGUAUCGGAAUAGCUAUAGGUAAGGCUUACCGCCGCAUGUGGGCUGUACUCAAAGGUCUCAAUCACAACAGGCCAAUCAACGGUACGGUCCUUAAUCGACUCAGUUGGAGACACUACUUUAAGACUCCAUUCUUAAAGCAAGUCCACCGACCGGUCUCAAGUUUAAACAUUAUUAACCAUAACAGUAUACCACAACGACCCUUCAAACUCUUUCAUUUGAAAACUUAUCUAAUAAGCAGGACUAAGCAUACUAAACAUUUUCAUAAAGCAAGUAUCAAGGUAAAUAUUGAAAUCAUCAAGGUAGAUAAUGCAGCAAAUAGGAUUCACUCAACUCCUAUUCACCUAAUGCAUCAUAUUAACUCAAGUGAUAUAGAUAACUUUAUGAAAAUACAAGGAUAGGGUUUAAUGUCCGGGGCUUGCCUUGGUCGGAGGGGACGUUCGGCAACUCAACAACACUCGAAGGAUCCACAAACUCGGAAGAAACCCACUGGGGAUCAGAUUCUUCCGGAGCGUACUCUAUACGUAAAAGUGCAUAUGCAUGAUUAUGAUAUACUCAUGGCAUGAUAAAGACAGGUUACAUGUUCUUGGAUGACAACCAUAAGCAUGACUAUCUCAAGUACAAUUUACCUUCAUGAUAGAGAAACAAACUAAUCUAGCUAUCAAAGCAUGGAUUAUUACUAAGCAAAUUUUAUCAUCUUCAUUAAGCAAUGUUGUGUAGUUAUUAAGCAACAAAGAUCAUUUACAUGAAAGAAUCCUUAACCAGGGAGAAUGUUAUGCUAAGUGACCACUGGUUGUCAAACAAUCUAAAAUAUCACCCAAAUCCUAAAGGGAUUAAUUAUUUCUAUUUCUUUUAUAAGCAUUUAAAUAGCUUUAUUAAGAAACAGAGCAUACUUAAUCAAAAAUAACUGAAAAUAUUUCUGAAGCUAGGUAAUAUUAACACAAGUUCACAUAUUAAAUUUCAUGCCAUUUGAAUAAGUAUAGCAGUUUCCAUGAAAAAGAUAAAUUUCCAUCACAAGAAAGCAUGUAACAACAAGAUAAAUAAGAAACUCGACAUUUUCUACAAACACAUAGCUAAAUUAUGUAUCUAUAUGAUAUAACAAUUUCAUAUAAAGGUAGAGGAACCAUAUUUUACAUUUAUUCCUUUUUAGUUUAAUUGUAAAUUAUUUAAUAAGCACUACACAAGAUAAAUCAAUAACUUAAUCAUAUGUCAUCUACUGAACAUGAAAUUUUUACUGCAACAUUCAAAUAACAUCAUGAGAACACCAUAAAAAUUUCAGGGCAAUAGGAUCUACACAGAAUAAGAUAUGAAUUUCUCCCUUUUAAACAUAAUUAAAAGGCAUAAAUCAUAACCAAUUAUUUUACUACAAAACAUGAUCAGUUUCAUAUUUUUAAUAAAAACUAGACAUCUCAAGGAGCACAACAAAAUUUGGUUCACCAAAAUUGGAGUUGCCAAACUCCAGAUAUGAAUUUUCAAAGAUCUAACAAAACAUCUACAAACAGGUCCUAAUGGCACUAUUCACCCGAGUCACGAACUUCGCAGUUAGACCCUUGCCUUGUGUCGAAUUCCAACGCGAAGUCCCUGGCGCGAAAUGGAAACAGAGGAGGCGCGCGGGAAAGCCGGAUUUCCGACCGGCGACCGUCUGUUGGCGACAAGGGAGAGGUACUGGAGCAUGGUUGGGCCUAUGUGCACCCUCUGGUGACCACGGCUUGCUGCGAGAAGGCCUGAGGUGGCAUGGCCACGGUGAGGUGCUCCUCGGCGGCGCUUUUGGCCGGAAUGGAGGAAGAACGGACGUAGCCGGGGCUAGAGAUGGUUAGAGCUUGCAUCAAGGGGGCGCGAAUGGUUGCUGAGACCUUGGUAAAGCUGCUGGGGUGCUCUGGUGGCUUAGAAAGGAAGUGGGAGAGGUGAAUUUUUGCGGGCGCAGGGAGCUCACCGGCGUUGAGCGAAAGGAAGAAGAGAGGGUUGCAGUGAGGUGCGAGCCAUGGGAAGAAGUGGAUGAGGACGCCAGGAGCUCGGCCACUUCACCGCGACCGUAAGCAGGCGAGCAGCUGCGUGGCUGGGUGCGUGGCGGCGUCCUGAGCAGCAGUGUCUGCCGCGGCGGCAGUGCAGCCCGUGAUCCUCAUCGGUUACUGUAGCAGGCUUUAUCCAACCAGUUUUGUGGUUUUGCAAAAUUCGUCCAAAUUUUGAACUGAAGACAAAAUUCCACCAAAACAAAAGUUAUUCAGAAUUUUACAAACUACAAAUCUUCUUUUGGUGACCAAAGCCAAUUCUGGGUGGAAAAUGACGAAUUUGACAAAACAGUUUGAAUUUCAAAUCCCAAAUUGGGGAAAUUCCAAAUUUUGAAUUGGAGCAGAUUAGAAUUUCCAAAAUUACUUUUGAUUUUCCAAAACAACUUGAAAAACUCCCAACAUGAAAGUUGUUCAACUUUUCAAGCCCUACAACUCUCAUGUUGACCAUUUUUCAAAAUUCCAAACAGAUUUUGAAUUGGAGAUUUAAGUUUGAAAAGGGGACACUUUCCGGAAAUCUGUAUUUUCAAAAUUACUUUGAAUUUUGUACUGAAACUUCAAAAACUCAAAACACCAAAGUUGUACAUCUUGACAAGAUCUACAACUUUGCUUUUGAACUCAACUUCAAAUUUUGCUUAGUUUUUAAAUUACACAAAAGGGGACAAAUCUAGGGUUUUGAAAACUAGGGUUUCCCCCCUAAGCCUUUCGGAAAAACUUUCACCCAAGGUUUUUAAAUUCCAAAACAAACAUCCAUACAUAAAAUAAACACACUUUACUUCCUAAACACAUUCAACCAAAAUAACCUUAUUUUAAGUUGAUGCAUAAUAAUGUGCUCAACAAUUAUGCUUUGCAAUGCUUAUGAUGACAUGAUCCAGUUUUAGUAUUCGUAACAUCAGGGAUGUUACACCGCCGCUCGCGAACCCCCCCUAGAACCCUAGCUUCGAAAUCCGCGCCGCCGCCGUUCUCGCCAAGCUCGCGCCGCCGCCGUUGAUACCGCCGCCGUCGAGCUUCUCUUUGACUUCGUCGUUUCGCGGAGGUGAGCUCGUCAUCGCGCUCGUCGUGACGCGCCGACCCCGCCCGUGCCCUCGGCACGCUCCCCCGUGCCCUGCAGCACCGCCGCCGAAGCUCCGGGCGGCGCCAAUGGCGCCACCGCCGCCGCCGGCCGCCCCUGCGCUCCGCACCGGCGCGCGGUCCACCGUGGACCGCGGCCCUGCGCCCCCGUGCGGCCGGUCCACUGGACCGGGUCCAGGAGGCCGCCCCCCGCCGCUCCGCAGGCGCGGUCCACCAUGGACCGCGGCCUUUCCCCCCCCCCCGCGCCCCGGUCCACAGCACAGUGCCGUGGACCGGCCACUCCCGAGCCGCCACGUGGCCGAGCCGGCCAGCACCCACGCGCGCCCCUGCACGUUUUGCAAAAAGGCCCCUGUUUUUAUUUAAAAUUAACCCGCUAUCCUAUGCAGUUUAAAAUAAUUAUGUUUAUGCCCUUAGUUUUCGCAGUUUAACCCCUGGCUCGGUUAGAAUUUAUUUAUUUAGUCCAAAAUGAGUUUUAAUUCAGUUUUUAAUUAGUUUUAAUUACGAAAAAUAGUUCAGUUUAUCUACAGAAAUGCCAUUCAACUUGUUUUAGCCAUAACUUUUGCAUCGUGACUCCGAUUUAGGUGAUUCUGGUCGCUAUGGUUUCGUUUCGUCGAGUAGAAUACAGUAAUGCAGUUGCUUUUUGUUUCCGCAUGCUUUGGUGUACUGUUUCUGAUUAAGUUUGUUUGCUUGCAUGUAUUGUUCCUAUGAUUGAUGAUUGUCGCGUAUAGCCAACGAGACGUUCGUGAAGGAAGAGGUUCAGGAUCCCGCUGAGUUCGAGCAACCCGACUUCGAUCAAGGCAAGUGCAGACACCGUUUGAUCAUUUUGAACCUACUCAUUAAUGCCAUUUACUUUAUAUGCAUGUGUCCAAUGAAUGCAAACCCUAAGGACAUGACUAGCUUUGCUUAUUAUUCCUUGCUCACCUGGGGUUAUGUAUUUGGGUAGACUAGGCUAUACUAGGUCUGCUUAGCUGCUCUACUCAUCUUAUACACAUGUCUAAACAAGAAUUACUCUCUCUCUACUUAACUUGAUGCUUAAACUGUGCUGAAUCUUUGGUCACUGCGGUGAUGGCGAUGUUGGAUGCUUGCGAGCAUCGUGAUGAUGGUGGUGACAGGGGGAGCGGGUACCGUUGGUGGUCCGGUUUGCCGGGCGUACCCGUCUCUGCUCUCCGUAAGGACUUAGUCAGGGAGCGGCCCCCCUGGGACUUACAGUGCAGCUCCAAGCUAUAUGGCUCUGGCUUGACUAAUUAGCAGGACCUCCACUAGUAGGGUGUUACUUUCCGGGUAGGCGUGAGGAAGUAACUUGGGUAAUGAAUAUUAAGUUGUCGGUUGAUCGGUACGCCAUGGCUAUGGGUAUCGACUGCCGAGCGCCCCGACAAAAACUUGCGAGUGGCAUCCUAUUAGUUGGACCCUGUGAAAGGUCUCGUAGUGAGACCCUGCCUGCUCACCUUGGAAGUGUUUUGGGGAGUCGCGACCCCGGGCAAAUGGGAAUCACGACUUGGAGUGAACGUGCACACCUCUGCAGAGUGUAAAACUGAUAUAUCAGCCGUGCUCACGGUCACGAGCGGCCCAGACCCUCACUUGAUGAGCAAAUUGGAUUCACUGGUUACUUGGAGAUGGACCUUGGCGAGGUUGCUACCUCGUGUUUUGGCGGAAUGGCUAUUCCGUGAUGGCAGGAUUGCUAUCCUGUGGUAAUAAUUGGGGUUAAUCCCUGGAUUACUAUAAUAGUUAGGAUAGUCAUUUAAAAGAUGCUAAUUACUACUUACACUAAUUAAGGGUUGGGUUUAUACUACUCAUAUUUAGUAAUAGGUUGUUCUAGUAAUUGUUAUAAUUAAAAGCGAUCAACUAAAAUGCUACCGCAGUCAAACCAAGUCAACUUUACCUUGUUUUAAGCCUUGCAUGUCAUUACUUUCCGUCUGUGCUUGCUGAGUUCGACAUGAGCUCACCCUUGCUAUAAUCAUUAAAGGUUGCUCGGACGAUCAGGAGUACAAUUGCGAUUUCCCUGAGGACUACCCUGAGUCUCCUGGUUGUUAGGCUCGUGUGGUUCUGCCGUCGACCUUCCUGUGGCAAGGUGGUCCUGCUACGUCGGCGUUUAGUUUUCCCUUUAUUUAUGGAACAGUUUAGUUUAUGUUUCCCCUCCGCACUUUGAUAAACAUUUGGCUUGUAAUAAUGGUACUUUUACUCUCAUUUAUGUAAUUCGUUUGAACACUGUGUUUUGUACCAUUGAUGAUGUCGGUCCAUGUGUGUGAAUUUGAGAUCCUGGCGCACAUGUGAUUUGGCACCCGAAUGCUCUUUUACAUCCGGGUGUGACAUCGCGAGAUAAAUCUUUUAAGCCUAGUUAGUCCAUAAUUGAACAAUAUUUGCCAAAAAAACGAAAGUGCUACAGUAUCCGAAAACUUUUCAUUUUGCCAACUAAACAAGGCCUAUGCUACAUGGGCAUCACCACUCUUUGCUUGUACCGUCUUGUUCGUUUGAGCUUAUCAGCCGAAUCUGUCAGUCAUUCAACAAUGUUUUUCUCUCAUAAUAAGCCAACAAUACUUUUUGUCAUAUCUUAUUAGCCAAACAAACAAGGCUUGCAAAAUUUCUCUGUUACAGACAAAAGGUUCUGUGAACUAUAAAUCAACAAUGUAGCAUUUAUAUACCUUAUUAGAUGGCCCCUUUCAAUGAGAACACAAGUUUUAUAGACUUAGAGCAACUCCAACGGCUUGGCAAAAUUUAGUAGUCAGAUUCUAUUUGUUUAGCAACUUUGUCAAAUAGAAAACUUUUGAAAAAGAAGAGGUCUAUAACAGCUUUGCUAUUUUACAAAAUUAGAUAGCUAAUGUCACUGGUUGGCUAUAUAUAGCCACCGAAAAUCAAGAGAUAGCCAAGUUUGUAUUUUACAAAACCAGAUAGCACAUCUGUUCGAACCACCUACAUUUUAGGAGCGGAUCUGCAGCCCAGGCCUAGUCGUUGGCCCAAUAACAUCAUAUAUCCUAUGUAAACUUUUAGCCCAACAAGGCAACAACCAAGGCCCAACACAUAACUGGCCUUAGCUCCAAGGCCUUGUUUACUUCCAGCCCAAAAUCUAAAAAAAAAUUCAAAAUUCUUCAUCAAAUUGAAUUUUUAGACAAAUUCUUCAACAACCAAGGCCCAACGCAUGGAGUAUUAAAUAUAGACAAAAAUAAAAACUAAUUACACAGUUUGGUCAAAAUUUAUAAGACAAAUCUUUUAUGCAUAGUUAGUCCAUAAUUAGACAAUAAUUAUCACAAACAAACGCAAAAUCAUGAACUAAAGACGGCCUAAAACUCUCACCUGUCUGUCUGUCUCCCAGUCCCUACUACGCCACACCAGCGUAUGCCCCACGACCCGCCAUAGUCACGCACGAGGGGAGGGCAGAAGGUGAGGAAUUGGCCGCCACUGACCGCUACGUCGCACGCAGCUGGAUCCCAGAGCCGCCCAUCCCGCCGGCAUCCCCAACUUCUUUCGCCAUUCCGCGUCCACGGCUUCCGCUUCCGUCUUGCUGAUGGUCGCCAGCCCCUAGACACUAGGUAUUUAUUUUCAUCUCAACAUAUGUGUCUGCAACAUUCUUACCAUCCUAGAGGCCUAGUCUUGAGUAAAACCGGGCUCUGCCACCGCUACUUUUUGCUAUGCAAAUUCUAAAACAACCUCCACAACAAGAAUAACCAAGCUGUUGGAGUUACUCUUAAAUGCCAGCAAUUGUAAAAGCUUGUUGUGACACUACUCUGGUAGACAAAGGUAACUUGUGUUUCUUUGCUUCAAUUAGCAGAACCAUUUAAGUACGAUAUGUAGACAGCAGGUGGUGCAUAUCAGUGUUCAUUGUCAGGUGGUUUAGUACAAAGCAUUAUCGAAACUUCACGCACUCCGCAUAACACUGAAGGCAGCAUUGCAGAUGCAAAGUAUUCAUAGCUUGAAGAAUAAAUAUAACCAAGUAAUCAUGAUGCAUAAAUAAUAAUUAGCUAAUUUGGACGCCACCAUCUCAUCAGCUAGAAUGGUUGUAUUAGGGAAAAAAAUUAUACAGUUUGUACCGAGGCUACGAGAUCAAGAGCUUUUUCUGUGCUGAAGCAUAAUGAACCUGGAUGAUGAUAUAGAUCCUUUCAAUCGAGAUGGCAAUGGUUGUCAUACUUGAGUACUCAACUACUCCAGUGGCAAUAGCCAUCUAGAGAAUUGCUAGCAGGUUCACAUGUUCAGUGUCAAGAGAAAUUGCAUGCAAAAAAACCAAAAUAACUCAACUCACCAUGAUGGCAUGAUGCAUAAAUAAUUAGGUACUUUGGAUGCCACAAUCUCAUCAGUUAGAACGGUUGCAUUAGGAAAUUAUAAAAAAUGAAUACAUAUGCAGGUAAUUAGGGAGUUGAGUAUGCCACUGCAAGAGGUACAAUGUUCCAAUAGAAACAGCCUACAGAACCGUACAGAAAUCAAAGAGGUCAUUGUAGUUUGUUAAGGCAACAGAAAGUUCUAGUUUUCUAUACCAUAAAAAAGAAAUCCUGAUUAGCAAACCAUCCAACCAUCAAAUUAACAUGCUGAGAUUAUUAGUACCUUGUUGCAGCCGACCUUGAAACUGAACAGGGUUGAUCUGUUUUUUCAGCAAGCAUGCUCUGACCAUGCACCCGAUAAAAUACUGCGUUUCUGAACAUUAUCUAUUUGAAGAAUUAAUAAUCUGUAGUGCGUCAUCCUCAUGUCGAUAAGAUUAGUUACACAGUAAACCGACUGAUAUUUGGUUGGAUGUACACUGAUCAUGUGUUUGAGCACAGAAGCUGAGAAGCAGAAACAUCGAUGGAUCGAUAAGAUUCUUUGUUGCAGUUGAAAAACCUUCAAAAAUAUUUAAGUCGGUUCCAAACUUAUGAACUGAAUAUAUAUCAUCAACGGGGGAUGAUGUAUAUGCAGAACCAAGCCGUCGUAAGGUACAACUGGUGGUACGUGGCCAACAAAUCUAUGAUCUUGUCAGCCUGUACCAUGUAACAAAAGCAUACGGUGAGCCUCAUAGCAGAGGUUAAAAAAAGACUUGCCAACAAAGUAACAUUCAUGACAGAGCACAGCGGAAAAAGUAGUGUGUAAAUGCCAUGUAUAAGUGGCUUCGUAUUCUUUCCAUUUUUCAUGACUGCUAGCAAAGAAUGGGUUGUAGACUUGGACAACAUUUGUAUUGCGAUAUGGCAGAACAUGCAUGAAGCGGAGGCUCUACACUAAUCUGUAAGUCAGCAAGAAUUGCAUAAACAGAAUCAACAUUUAGGUUAACUGGAAACCGAAGAAUGACAAUUUGUAAGAAGUAUCGUAGCACACCAUGAUCACCGGAUUCAUUGUUUUUUGUGAAAAUUGCCAGGAAAAACAAGGUAUGACCUGUUAUGUCAACAUGGUAUGAAUGGUAACUGUACAAAUGAUGAUUAUGGGAGCAGUUAUUAAGAAAUCAUAAAAACUAAAACAAUAUUAGCGAAAAAAAUACCUGUUUAGGUUCAGCUCGUUGAUCAAACAUACCCGUGCACGUCUCCAUCACAUUCUCGUUGUCGGCAUGCGCUAUCUGGUAAAUUAAGGAUGAGCUAUAAAUGGGUAUCCACAGUUCUUCUCUAGUCUAACCUAUUUAAGUAAAUGAACGAGACAGACACGGUGGUUGGAACCUUGGAGGAAAAUGCAAGAUCGUGUGGCCUAUGGUUUGCGCUUCAAAAUACUACGGCGGCUUGGGUCUGCCAAACAUGAGUCCUCGGGUUCACCCUUCGCCUCCAUUCGGACUGGCAGAAGAGGGUUGCAGAUGCGCCACCAUGGACCAAGCUGCCGUCCAAACUAGAGAAGCUUCUGAGCAUGUUCAGCUGCUCCGUCGUGGUCGAGCUUGGCCAUGGUGCUUCGGCUCGCAUCUGGACUGAUUCUUGGCUGCCAGUCAGGUCAAUUGCGACCUUUGCCCCGCACUUGUUUCGCACCAUUGGUCGUUGCUUUCUAUUGGUAUCCAUCAAGGAGGUGCUCUCCGGUCACCAUUACUGCGUCACAUCUCCGGGGCACACACCACGCCAGUGUUGUAUGAGUUUGUUGAUCUCUGGCAAAAGCUGGAGGACGUCCAGUUGCAACCGCUUGUGAGUGACCGCUUUAAUUGGCGAUGGACGCCACAUAGCACGUACUCAGCGUCCUCAGCAUAACGCUCAUUCUGGGCAUGUCCUCCCUGUUGGGAGCCAAGGAACUUUGGGAAGCUUCCGCGCCGCCAAAGGUGAAACUCUUCUGCUGGUUAGCCCUGCAUGGUUGCAUCUGGACGGUGUUAGGUUGAUCUCUGCCAACCCAAGUCCAAAGAAUGCCCCGGACCCUUGACCUCGUCCUGAUCGGGGGCGUCCAGCCCAAUGACUUGGCUGGUGGGCACCCGUUGCAGUGUAUAAAGAGAGGGUGGGGGCUAGGGCACAAGGUACGACGUUCAUCGCUACAGUGCCGUGAGUCCCCACCCUAACCCUAUACCGAUCCAAAGGGAAGCACUGCCAGCGACGGGAAGUCCGCUGCCGCGACUGCCUUGGACAACGUGCUUCUCUGCGAAGGUAAGGUUAGGUAUCUCUCUCAUCCUCUCGUCCUCACUUCCUCUCUGGAUCCAAGAUGUUCUAUGUUAUUUAUCCCAAAUGGAAAAGCGGAUUCCCCACUGAUCUACACUCUAGACGAUCUAAGAAUAUAACAAAUGGUAUCGGAGCCAAGGUUACCGUCGCGCGAGGCACCGCCCUCGCGCGGGCAAUGUGAGAAGAGAAAGAAAUCGGAUGAAUCCCAAACAUAAUGAAAGAAUCUUAACCUAAAUCCUAACGCUCGAUUAGGGUUUCGGUAAGAACUAACAGAGUAGGGAGGGAUCCGAUACGGUCGGAUCCUACCCCUAACCUUAGAAGGGAAAGAAGACGACGGAGAGGAUGGAUCCUACCUAGGGCCCACCUUGCUGCCGGCCGUCAAUCGACGCCGCGUAGAAGAACCGCGCCGCCUCUUCAUCGGCGUGCGCGUAGCUAAGCUGCACCGUCGUGGAAUUAUUCGACGGACGCGUGCUCGUCCUCGUGGGGAACGCGCUCGCCGACGAAUGACUCCAUGGCGGCGCCGCCGUUUCUCCUCUCCGGUCAUCACCGGCGGCCGGCUCCUGCUGCUGUUUUUUGCGGCGUGGGAGAGAGGAGAGGAACCAGAAAAGAAAAGAAAGGAAGGAAAGAAGGGGAGGGCCAGGGGCGCUCUCCCUCGGCGCUCUCUCCCCACCGGCGCUGAUCGCGGCCGGGAUCCAUGUCUGCCGCCGCGAAAGAAACAGAGGGAAAAAGAAUGGACUAGGGUUUAGGGAAGUCACCGGCUCAGGGUUUUUGUUUGCCGAGAUUGAAGAACGACCGUCGAUCUCGAUCGGACGGUGCAUAACAGCUGGACUGGGGCCCAAGAGGGUAACCGAAUUCCCGGCCCAGGCCCAGGUUGCGGCCUCGGCACGGGGAGAGCCGCUCGCCAUCUCCGCCGAUGGGUCGGCCUGCUUCGCCGACGCACGGGUCCCGGGCUGGGGUGGAAGGUGGCCGCGGGCCACUGCUGUGCCGCAGCAACAAUCGUGCGCAGGGGGAAAGAGAGAAGACCAUGGACUUUUCUCAAAAAAAAAAGAGAGAAGACCAUGGACCGGCCAGCCUGGGCCACGAGCUCUAACUAGGCCAUGGGGAGAGGAAAGGGGAGCGCGAGCUGCUAGAGAUUUUCGUUUUUCUAUUUUCCAGAAGCAAAUUUUGAAUGCAGUUUUGAAUAAAAUUGUAUAGUUUUGAUGCUAUUUUCUGUACAAAUAUUGUCCAAAGAUAAUUUUUCACAGAAAAUAGUAAAGUAUCUUAAAGAGUUUCUAGAAAAUAAAAUUAAGAGUAUACUAAAGUUUUCGCUGCGUACUUAUAAUUAUUUAUUUAUUUUUUCAUUGUUAAAGUCGAAGUAAAGGGAGAGUUUAAUUUUGAAAAAUAAAACAAAUACAGAUUAUUAUAAUAUUGUAAUUGUUCUAACCAAAGUUUAUUAAUAGCAAUAUUAUGAUGUUAUUAUGGUUUUUUGUCAUGCAUUAAUUCUAUUUUUGGCCAAAGGUAAUGUAGAAUUAGUGUAAAAGAAUUAAUUGUAUGUUAUAAUCUAAUGUGGAGAGCAGUUACAAAUAUUCAAUAAAUUAUAAUAUUUUUAUUUUCUGAGCAAAGUUGAUGAUAAAAAUAUUAUAAGUUAUGUUUAAAGUUUAAAUCUCUGAUGAAUUUUGCAUGAAAGUGACCAAUUUGUUAGAAAAUGGAUAAAGAUUUAGAAAUGUUCCUGAAAAUAGAAAAUAGUAGUAUUUUUCACAUUUUCGUUGUAGAGAUUAUUAUGAUACUGUCCUUUUCUGAGCAAAGUUUUCAAUAGUAAUGUCAUGAUAUUGUUUAUCAAUUAUAUAUAGUAAUGUCAUGAUAUUGUUUAUCAAUUAUAUGCAUUAAUUCUAUUUGUACCCAAGGGUGAUUUAGAACUGAUGUAGAAGAAUCAUGACAUUGUUUAUCAGUUAUAUGCAUUAAUUCUAUUUCUGCCCAAAGGUGAUUUAGAAUUGAUGUAGAAUGAUGAUUUAUUCUAUUUCUAUCCAAAGGUGAUUUAGAAUAUAAAAAGAAAGAUUUAAAAUUUUAAUGUGCAUGUCUUUAACCGGGUUAUUUUCAUGCUCCUUAUUUUCAUGCUCAUUAAUAUAAAAGGAUCUGCUACCUCGCUUUCUUAAAAGCAGAGGCUUUGCCUCCUUUGCCUCCUUUUUUUAAAAGAAAAAGGACAUCUUUGGAACUAAACAAGGCCUUACACGAGGAUGAGUCAAUACAACAAUUAUUGUUUAACCAUAAACUAACUAGACUCAAAAGAUCGUGUCUUAUAAAUUACAGAGAAAUUGUGCAAUUAGUUAUUAUUUUUAUCUAUAUUUAAUACUCCAUACAUGUGUUGAAAGAUUUAUUUAAUGUAAUGAGGAAUCAUGAGAACUAAACAAGGCCUUACACGAGGAUGAGUUGAUACAACACAUUUAUGUGGGUCUGUCGCCACCAGCAGAGAAUUGCGAACAGACUGUUCGCUUGAACUUACUAACUAAAUCAGUAAUAUUUUUUUAUAACAAAUCAACAAAAAGUAAUUUCUAUCAUAGCUUAUCAGCUAAACGAACAAAAAAUAAUGUAACGUGCCACAAAAAAUAAUGUGACGUUGACUUCCGCCUCAGUCCCUCACAAUACAUGAGAUUGGAUUGCAGCUAAACAAAAGUUCUGUAAUGUAUUCCAAGGUAUUUUAGAUUGUCAUCUAUUACUUAGAUAUCAAAAUUUGCAUGCAAACCUGGUAUGACACAGGCAAGUUCAAGGACCAAGUGACACAUCCACACAAUGACACUAUACAUAAAUAUAAUACUUAAGGCCUGUUUGGUACAGCUCACAACAGCUUCAUGAGCUGUUUUUUUUUGCCAAACACUUAUUUCCAAAACAACUUCAUUGAAGCUGUUUUUCUCCUCCUCUCACAAAGACAUAGUUGGAUGAAGCUGGAAAAAAGUAGCUUAUUGCAGCUUCUCCCUCAUUUCUCUCUCUCAACUAUGCAUGAAGUAGUUGGUGAAGCUAUUUUGCCAAACACUUUUUCCGAAACAGCUCAGCUUCAUCUAGAAAGUCACUCAUGAAGCUAUUUUCUAAAAAAACAGCUUCACUAGUGAAGUUGAGCUGUGCCAAACAAGCCCUUAAAAGAAGACGCCACAAACUAUUUUUUAACAAAACCCACGGAACAUGCCGCAAACUUGAUGUCUUAUCGAUUUAUAUAUACAGCGUAAAAAUAGUAAAUACGAUCCCUUCCUAGUCCACAACACGAAAUAGGUCCUUAAAUUUUAUUGAGAAACACGAGAAGCCUUUCCUGUGGAACCAUCGGAUAUACAGAAGAAGAAAGCAAAAUGGUUGGCAGGAAGGCAUGUCCAAAUGAGUUGGCAAGGCUAGCAGGAAAGUGAUGCAGGCAGACAUGACUCGAUCCAUAUCCUUCUCCCUGUAAUACAUAAAUACUGUGAGAAAAAUGGUCUAGAUGGAUGAUGUUCAUAUUAUACUUGCUUCACUUAGCAAGAGAAGGGUACCAUGCAAUAUGUGGCAUACCAAGCUCUUGAAUCUUCUCCCUGUAAUACAUAAAUACUGUGAGAAAAAUGGUCUAGAUGGAUGAUGUUCAUAUUAUACUUGCUUCACUUAGCAAGAGAAGGGUACCAUGAAAUCUGUGGCAUACCAAGCUCUUGAAUCGUGCCUGGGCAAAUCACAGGACCUCUACCAGACCGCGUGUCAUGAAGCUUGCUGCAGAGGGUGGUGCAACGAAACGUCUAGUAAUCAUCCGUGGGGCAGGCGCCCAGGGUCUGCCAGUGCAUACAAGGAUUAAUUUGUAAAGUAGUUUUUUUAUAACAAACUUCAUUAACUUUAACAGCAACAUACAGAGAGGAGCCUAAAAUGCUCCCAGGUUACAGACUGCAAUGCCUCUAGACAAGGCAAGAAAGAUAGCUGCUAUGAGCAGAACAUGUACACAAGAAUUGGGUAAAGGCAUGUGAUGGACUAAAGACUGCGGAGUAGCAUUUAGUGAGCGGUGAAUUUUGAGAGUCUUGAAGCCGUUUCCUGCCAUAUGUUCUAGGAAUACUUACUUUUUGUAAAGGCUUCUAGUUGUACUGUGCCUCUGCCAAGUGCUAUAUUUACAGGAUACAAUUGACAGAAACAGACACUAAAGAUAAUGAGUGGUAUACUUAGCUUCCAUACUAAUAAUUUCCAAGAUUUAAAAAUUGACAACUCUUAUUAUUCAUAAGCCUGAUAAAUAUAUUUCACUUGAACUUGAAAGCUACAAUGUUUAGACACCUUUGGAAAACAUUAUUUAGUUUCAUGAACCCAGUGCUUUGUCAUAUUAAAUUGACUUGAUUCACGUGAAAUUGCAUGCGAAAUUUCUGUGUGCCAAAGGGGGCCUUUGCAGUACUUUUCUAGUUGGAGAAAGAUGGUGGUCUCCCAGUAAGUGAAAUGCCAAGACAGGGUCUGCUUGGAAUGCGGGAAUUCCCGAUAUAGGUUUAAUUUCACUAGGAAGAUGCAGUUUUUUUUUUUUUUGGGGGGGGGGGGAUGCUCCAAAAAAAAACGAGGACAACAGUGAAGAACAGGUGCAUAUAUGCGUCAAUAAAUAAACAUACAACCAACCAGCACAAAUCAAUUAAGUAUAAUAUGAUACAUAAAAGCCAGCACAGCAGCAAAGCAAUACAUAUUAUUAUUACCUUGAGAGGAACUUGGAGAACUCGGAGGGGAGGAAGGGCAAGGGACAUGCGGACUUUACUUGGGUCAACUCAAUCUUAUCAGUGUCAAGGUCCGCAAACCCAUUGAGAUACUGAGAACAUGACUCCACGAUCUUGGUGCUCAUGUUGAUGGUGACCACCCACAUCUUCAUCAUCACGUACUCAUAGUCACAGCAAAGGAAGUGCACCACAUGUGGCCUGUAGAUGUCCACCUGAGGGAA
rnacentral:lncRNA from 1 species